CCUGAUUAGGUGCUUAUUUACUCACUAUUUGCUUUGAAUUAUAUUCUUUGUAUAUAAUACUAACUUGUAUUUUGAUCAUUCUCGCAUGACAUUUCAUCAUAAAAGGGUGUUGAUUUACGUUCGGUUACUAAUUAGAAGAGUUUAGCAUGGAAAAAGGAUUUCUUGAUAGAAUGGAGGAUAAUGCGGCCGUCCGAGUGUGGUCUGAGAGAACGCAACAGGAGAAAGGAGAUAGUUUGACCGAGGGAUAUGAAUUGGAGUUGUGGGAUUUCACUCCCAUCAGUGUGACUCAAAACGACCUGCAAGAGUUAAGGGAUAUAUGGAAUAGUUGGAAUGGCGAAGUCAAACAACUCUUUUACUGUAACUACGGCGACCUACCCUAUUUGCUCGAUGUAAAGGUGGACAAGUACUUGUUCCGGGCCCUCGCGCAAUUUUGGAACCCCGCUUACAGUUGCUUCACUUUCGGAGGAGUUGAUUUAGUACCUACGGUGGAGGAAUACAUGGCGUUACUUAAUUGCCCGAAGAUUCAGGCCGGUAAGGCCUUAUUCAAGACCUGUUAAUGUCCCUCCCUUUUUGAAGAAAUUGAUGAAUAUCACGGGGAUGAGCGAGCAAUGGGUUGCGACCCGCAUCAAGAAAAAAGGGGAUAGUAAAUGUAUUCCUUGGAGGAAUUUGAGGGAUUUUAUUCUUGCGCACCCGGAUUCGAAGAAAAGGGUUGAUGUUUUUGCCUUAAGUCUCUACGGUUUGAUCGUCUUUCCUAAAGCACUUGGACACAUAGAUGAAGCCGUCUCAGAUUUAUUCGAUCGACUUUAUAAAGGUACCACACACGUCCCGGCAAUUCUAGUAGAAACUUUUCGAUCCUUGAAUACAUGCCGGAGAGCGAGCGAGGGAAUUUUUAUUGGUUGCGCACAGCUUCUUUUGGCUUGGUUCCAAAGUCAUUUUUGGAAGGUGAAGAAGGUCUCCUAUCGGGUAUUCUCUAAGGAUUAUUCCCCAUUAAGAGAAUUAGUGGCCAUAUCGAGGCGGGACGACAUCUCCGAAGAGAGGUGGAUAACUAUUCUCCAAAAUUUAUGGACCGAAGACGUUGAAUGGAGGGCUCCGUGGUUGAUUCCUGACGAGAUCUUAUAUAGGUGCGGUGAUUUUGACUGGGUCCCUCUGGCUGGAAUAUGGGGAGCCAUUGGAUACGCUCCACUGAUGGUGUUAAGGCAGUAUCGAUCAAGGCAGUUUAUACCGGUGACACAAGGGUUGGCACAAUGUGAGUUCCCCUAUAAAGACAACAAUUAUAAAGAGAGGGUUCACGAGAUAUCAGAUGCAUGGAACCAAACUCGAAGAAUGAAAGGAUUCACUGCAGGCCCGAUGACGACCCUCGAGUAUAAAUGGUGGUGGGGUAGGAGAGUCAACGACAACAUCCCUAGGCAGAAUCAAGGGAACACACAACCGAUAGAGGAGCAUUUACGGGUUAUCCCAUCCGAGUUAGAGAUCAUUAAGCAAGAUUUUGAGAAAAGAAACUCGGAGUUGGGGAAGAAGAUAGAGCAACUAGAAGAAGAUAAAAUGAAGUUGGGGUUAAACGUCGAUAUCCAUAAGCUAGAGGCCGAGAAGUUAAGGAAAGGAAAGAACAAGGCCGAGGAAGAUUUAGAUAGUCUGAAAACCGAUUACAAGAAGCUUCGUAUAACAAUAAAAACUACCGGAUUAGGUAAAACUUCGGAGCAAUAGUGUCAAGAGAUUAAAGAGGAAAAGGCUAGAGUCGACCAUUGGGAGAAAAGAUUUCAAGAUGCCCGAGUACGAGAGGACACUCUGAAGAAGAGUUUGUUAGAAACCCAAAAUGAAAAGGAGAAGUUACGAGCUCGGGUGGCUGAAUUGGAAAGAUUACUUCAGCAACAUCAUAGCCAUAAUUCGAUAAUUAAGCUAAAGGCUAGUCUGAGCAGGAUCGAAGAGUUGAAAGGGAAAAUAGAAGAACUCGAGACCGCAUUGCGAGAUAGUAAAAUUCGAGUGGAACUUCUUGAGACAAACAACGACCAUUACAGAGAACAUCUUCACCACUCUCAAAACCAUAUUAGAGAUAGAGACUAUGUCAUGGGUGAAGCUAUAGCUCAGGUUUGGGAGAUAGCUGAUCACUUGCAAACCUUGGCAGUUCAGGCUGAUAUAUUAAGCUUAAAGUACGAGUCGGAAUCAGACCGAGGCUGAAGCUUAGCUUGGCUUCUUAGGAAAGUUAAGACUUUGGGCAUUAGGGCGAAGUCGUAUAUGUCAUCAUCCGUUCUAUGUAAGGAAAUUUUUCUUCUAGUGAAGUUCUUCUAAUGAAAUUGAAUUGGAAUCAACGCCUCUUUUUGCAUCCAUUCAUCCAUUCAUUGCAUAUACAUAUCCCAUAAUCAGUCGCUAAGGUUAGAAUAAUAUAAUUUGCAGUUGCAACACUUCAAAUCUAGAACCACGCCAUUCGUAUAAAAUGCGUCGACAAGCUAGAGCAAUGGAGGCUGAGUUCAAUGAAAGAAUCGAAAGGAUGGAAAGAGUCCAGAAGGAAUUACAAGAACAACUGGCUAAGUCACAGCAAGAAACGAGGGAUUUGACAGUAAGAUCUCGAGAGGAAUCACUUGAACAAAAGGAUCAAAUGGCUAGAAUGAUGGAGAUGAUAUCAGUUUUUGUAACACCCCCUAACCCCAAACCGUCCCGGAAGAGAGUUAUGGAGCAUUACCGGAGUUUACAGAAUAAUUACACACAAUUUCAUUUACUUUCUUAUGUUCAUGUCAAAAUUGUCUUCUUGAGUAACAGUCACUAAAAUAUUUAUAUCUAGAGUUACAAAACUCCAAAUUAAGUUCCGUUAAUUUUUCUUAAAACUAGACUCAUAUACCUUUCUACCAUAAAAUUUUCAGAAUUUUUGGUUUAGCCAAUUAGUACAGUUUAUUCCUUAAAGUUACCCCUGAUCUGCUGUUUGACGUUUCGACCUUUCUUUACUAAAAUUUAAUUAUCUCAUAGCACAGGACUUGGAUGAUAUUCCCGUUUAUUUCUCUUGAAAAUAGACUCAUUAAAGAUUCUAAGCAUAUAAAUUAUAGCCUGUAAUUAUUUUUAUACAAUUUUUAAUGAUUUUCCCAAUUCAGAAUAGGGAAUUCCAAAAUCAAUCUGACAUUGUCUCACAAAAAUUCAAAUUCAUACCAAAUUAGUCAAAUCCUAUUUUAUACCAUAGCCAAAUCUAAAUUUAUUUAUUUCAUCCUUACAUUUACAAUUUCAAAAUGACAGACACAUAAGACAUCCUAGGUACAUGCCAUUACCAAUAAUUAACACACUUUACCUUAAUGAAUUCGGGAUCGGACUGGGAUGCUGAUUCAACGUACUAUCUUUACUUAACCUACGCACGGAAACAAACCGUACGCUGAGUAUGGUAUACUCAGUGGUGUUUCUAUAAUCCGAACACUUGAUAAUAUAACAAUUAAACUUAAAAUCACAAUGAUAAAUAUAACCAUUCGUUUAUUUAUUUUAUAGAUAAGUUUCAUUUACUUACCAUAAAAAUUCUAUACAAGCCAUAUAACAAACACAACAAUAUAUUUGCUCAAUUCUUUUCAUUUGCUUACUGUAUAAAUUCUUUCAAUAUAUUCACAAUUCACUUGUAUUCACACUUUACUUCUUAACAAUAUACCAUUUUAAUUCAUUCUAACAUCAAUCUAUUUCAAUUGUAAAACAUCAUAAUUCAAUCACUAACAAUUGCCAUAUGUAUAUAAAUAUAAUAAAUAAUGACUAAGUUCGGAUUAUAGAAAUACAAACCGUAUUUUCUCGAGCUAACUCCCUUUGUCUUUGCCAUUUUUUUCCUUGCUUAGCCGAGGUUUCCCGAGACAACAUUAGCUACGGGAAUUAAAAAAAUUCAUAUUCGUUAAUUCACUACUAAUUUAUAUCUAAUUAAUACAAUUUUUAUUCAAUUUCUACUUUAAUUUCAAUUUAAUCUUAACUAGAUUUACUUACUUUUCCUAUCUCAAUUCAUACUUCAUUUCUAUUCAAAUUUUGUCCAAACUCAUACUUAACUAUUAAAUUUCCAGCAUAUUUUCAUAAUUUCGAAUUUAUUUCCAUUUAAUCCCUAAAACUCAAAACUUAUAGCUUAGUUUACGAUUCAAUCCUUUAUUCAAUUCCAAUCAAAAUUUCUAUCAAAUAAACCCCCAAUUCCAUCAUUUUAUUCAACAUGAACCAUACUUAGAAAUCUAAUGACUUUCAAAAUUUUUACUUAAAACAAGUAGUAUUUAUCUCUAGGAUUCCAAAAACUCAAAAAUCACAAGAAAAGGGGCUAAAUUGACUUAUAAAUUAACUUGGAACCUUUAAAACCUUAUUUUUCCCUUUUUCUUUUCUUCCUUUCUCCCUUCUCUGUUUCGUCCCCUGCUAUUCUGUUUCUUUCCUCUUUUUAUUAUUUUGUUUCUUUCUUUUGUUUCUUUUAUAUAUAUAAUGACAAUAAUAACUAUAAUAAAAAUCUAUUUAAUAACAAAUAUUUAUUUAACACUUGUACCAAUCAUUUUUAUACACUUGUUUUUCUUAUUUUUUUUAUAUAUAUACAUAUAUAUUUAAUAAUUUAAUGAUAUACAUAAUUUAAGAAAAAUCUUGAUUUUUCUUCCAUUCACCGCCUCAUUUCAUGGGUAUGGCUUAAUUGCCAUUUUGAUCCUUUUAUUUUCUAUUACUUUAAAACUAAACUUUCACAUUAUAUUCAAUUUAAUCUUUUAUCCAAUUAUCCUUAAUUAAGCUAAAUUUACUUAAUUAAACUUUAAUUAAUCACUCACUUAACUUCAUAAAUAUUUUUACUUUUUUUUUAUAAUCUAAUCCAUUUUUCAGAAACGGUGACCCGAAAAUACACUUUUCUAAUAACCUUAAAGUUCGGGUCGUUACAGUUUUGGUCAAAGGAAAAGGACCCAUGCAGAACCCCGACAGUAUGGAACCUCAAUCAAGAAUUAAUCACGACCAGGAUCCACUCUAUCCCCCAUGAUUCACUCCACCACAUGCCCACGUAGCACAAAGAGGGUAUACUCAAGGGGAAUCCACAGGCUUGGAACAACGACCUAUGCCAUUUGCUCAUCUAGGGCAAGGAACAUUUAUGUCAAAUCCCGGAGCAACCCCUACCAAUCCUGUAGUUCUAGAUUUAGAUGAUCCAGUCGAAAUAGCCAAGUUGAAAAUAGAUGAUCACGAGGCUCAAGAGAAGUAUAGGAAUUUGGAAGAAAGAUUCAAGGCAAUAGAAGGCACUGAAGUCUUCUCGGUACUAGGUGCUAAAGAACUCAGUUUGGUACCUGACCUAAUCCUGCCUCCGAAGUUCAAGGUGCCUGAUUUCAAAAAAUACGAUGGGACAAGAUGUCCAAAAGCACAUCUUGUCAUGUUUUGCCAAAAAAUGACCGGUUACGUGAACGAAGAUAAGCUACUUGUACAUUGUUUUCAAGACAGUCUAGUAGGAUCGACUCUUCGGUGGUACAACCAGCUCAGUAAGGAAAGGAUCCGAUUUUGGAAAGACUUGGCGUCGGCAUUCUGUGAGCAGUACAAGCAUGUAUCAGAUAUGGUGCCUGAUCGGAUGACUUUACAAAUGAUGGAGAAAAAGCCGUAAAAAACUUUUAGACAGUACGCGCAGAGAUGGAGGGACGUCUCAGCCCAAGUGGAACCCCCACUAACGAAAACGGAGAUAACCGUUCUUUUUAUCAACACCUUAAAGACGCCGUUUUAUGACAAACUAGUGGGAAGCGCCACGAAGGACUUCGCGGAUAUUGUAAUAUCCGUUGAGCUUAUAGAGAACGCCGUCAAGAGCGGUAGAAUGGAAGGUCAAGAAAGUUCAAGAAUGGUAGCACCCAUGAAGAAGAAAGAACCAGAAGCACACAUGGUGGGAAUGAGAAGUCGUUAUGCCCCUAAUCCAUAUCCAAACCAACCCUGACCUCGAAGUUAUCCACCUCUAAAUUUCUAUUAUCCCCUUCAAACCCCUUACUACCAAGCACCACCUCCUUCCUACCCCGUAUACGCCACGAACAACCAAAGACCCGUCACCACAUUCCCACAAAACAUGGUACUCGCUCAAAGCCAGCCCAGUAACAAACCAAGACCAGCAAAGGCCUAAUCCCGAGAGACCGCAAUUUACUCCUAUCCCUGUGUCGUAUGGGAAAUUGUACCUAAAACUUCUAGAGAAACAGCUAAUUUCUCCCUAUUACAUGGCACCCAUUAAACCCCCAUACCCAAAGUGGUACGAUCCAAACGCUAGUUGUGCAUACCACGCGGGGAACCAGAGGCAUUCCACGGAGAAUUGCCUAGCCUUUAAGAGGAGAGUUCAAGGACUCAUUGACGCAGGUAUCCUACGAUUCGAUAAUGCCCGUAACGCAACUGGGAACCCGUUCCCUAACCAUGCUGAAGGGAAUGUGAGCACAGUGGGGAAAGAGGACGAAUGGAAAGUCAGAAGAUGUGUUUCAGAAAUAAGGACGCCUCUGCAGAAAAUCUGGGAGGUACUGGUUAAGAAAGGAUUGCUUUGUCACCCUGAUAGAAUUUUUGGAGAAGAAGGUCAAAGUUUUUGCAAUUUCCAUGGAAUUGUAGGACACGACAUUCAGUCGUGUGAGGAAUUUAAAAGGUUUCUUCAAGACCGGAUGGAUAAUAAGGAGAUUAAGGUCCUUAAUAAGAGGGAAGAGACCAACGAAAGAGAAGUAUGCACCUCUGACAACCAGUCAUCAGGUCUCUCUUAUAGUGCGGAUCGACCGUUAAUAAUUUAUUACGAUGCGACGAAAGAGUCGGUGAAACCAAAAAUGAUAAUCGAAGUAUCGUUUCCUUUCUCGUACAAGGACGACAAAGUCGUACCAUGAAAAUAUGACAUCAAUAUCGUUACACCGGAAGAUGAAAAGCUCAAAGCCAUAAUUGGAGAUGUUGGAGAGGUAGGUCAUUUUACUCGAAGUGGAAGAUGUUAUUCGAAAGAGGUCGAACCAGUGAAGAAGAACAGUGACUGGAAGCAAAAAGAGAAAGUAGUGAUGUAUGAAGCCGAAAUCGAGCAAGAAAUUCUACCUGUGCAAGAAACUAAAAAGCCUGUGGAUGAGGAAGAAGCACAGGAGUUCUUGAAAUUUAUCAAACACAGUGAAUACAAUGUGGUGGAACAAUUGAAUAAGCAACCAGCACGAAUCUCGAUUUUAUCUCUGCUGCUAAAUUCGGAGCCACACCGGAACGCUUUGCUGAAGGUGUUGAAUCAAGCUUACGUGGCAAACAAUAUAUCCGUGGAGAAGUUAGACAGAUGGGUGAACAACUUGAAUGCGGAUAAUUUUAUUUCUUUUAGUGAUGACGAAAUACCACCCAAUGGUAGAGGCUCCGUGAAAGCACUACAUGUUACGACGCGCUGCAAGGGCUACAUAAUACCGAAUGUACUUAUCGAUAAUGGGUCGGCACUCAAUGUCAUGCCUUUGGCCACGCUUUCCAGAAUUCCGAUAGAUUUGUCCUAUUUAAGGCCCUGUCAUUCCACGGUAAGGGCAUUCGAUGGGACAAUGCGUGAAGUUAUGGGAAAGAUUGAUAUACCUUUAGAAGUGGGCCCUUACAUUUACAAUGUCGAGUUCCAAGUCAUGGACAUCACACCCUCGUAUAACUGCCUUCUAGGAAGGCCCUGCUGGAGCAGUUACUACAUCCUCUCUUCAUCAAAAAGUAAAGUUCAUCAUGGAUGGUUGUUUGGUCACUGUCGAGGGAGAAGAAGACAUUAUCGCAUCUAUCUCUGCUGAUGCGCCAUAUCUUGAAGUAAGCAAAGACGCAGUGGAAUGUUCCUUCCGAUCCCUUGAAUUUGUCAAUGCCACUUUUGUCGCUGAGGGAAAUAGAAUUUCGGUGCCAAAACUGUCGAAAAAUGCCAGAAUGGGUGUCAAGCUGACUAUAGGAAGGGGAGCUCGAGCGAGAAGAGGUUUAAGGAGAUAUCUGUAAGGAAUAGUCAGGGCUCUAAAGCCAGUACACUACAAGGCUCGAUACGGUUUAAGGUUCCAACCGGACAUGCGUCAAAGAAGAAAGCAGUGGAAGAAAGAUUAGGAAAGAAGGAUCGCGAGAACAUUAGGCCGAGAACCAGAAUGGGAGCCCAUGGAAUUCCCUCAUUUGUCAAGAACAUUUACGUCAGCGGGAAUGAUAUACCCAGGGUAGUAUAGUGCACAAAGCACAAUGUUAAUGAUCGAAGAGGGUUUUCAGAAUAUCAGUAUAAAUGUCAUUGACAAAGGAGUUGACGCGAAUAAAGACGUCUCAAAGAUACGCCCUUGUCCCCCGGGUUUCAUGUUGAACAAUUGGACUGCCGAGGAUCUUCUUGUAGUUUAUAAGUCUUCAGAGUAAUGCUCAAACGUUAACAUUCUGUUAUGUCCUUAGAUAUAAUAGAAUUCUUUUGUAAGAGCUUGCAUUUGCUCUUUAUCAUUUAAAUAAAUAUUAAUGAAGAUGCAUUUUGUCACGAUUUUUCGCAUUAUCACUAAUUCUAUAAUCAUUUCAUAGCCUAUCUUUACAUUUGCCUCAUGCCAUACCGUAACAUUCAGUUUGUUGGUUUCAAUACUUGGAUGCCCCUCUAUAGUUUCCUUUUCCAUUCAACUUUCAGGUGCUCAGAUAUCAAUUGCAUGAACAAACCCGUUACGAGUCCUGAAAUUGAUUUUGAGAAGGCUGUUUGUUUAGGAGAUUUCGAAGCCGAAGAAAAUGCUGAAGACUGUGUCUCGUCUCCUGACUUGUUAAGAAUGGUGGAACAAGAGGAUAAACAGAUUUUGCCUCAUCAAGAAUUUGUUGAAACAAUAAACUUGGGAGCUGAAAAAAGGAAGCAAGAAGUGAAGAUUGGGACUUCUAUUUCAGGGGGCACCAGACAUAAUUUGAUUACUUUGCUCUGUGAGUACAAAGAUGUAUUCGCAUGGUCAUAUUAGGAUAUGCCAGGAUUGGAUGAAGAUGUAGUGGUCCAUAAGCUCCCAUUGAAGCCAGAAUGCAAACCCAUUCAACAAAAGCUAAGACGGAUGAGACCUGAGAUGUUGUUGAAAAUAAAAGAGGAAAUCAAUAAGCAAUUUGAUGCUGGCUUCCUACAAACCUCCAAAUAUCCAGAGUGGGUGGCCAACAUAGUUUCGGUACCAAAGAAAGACAGUAAAGUACGAAUGUGCGUGGAUUAUUGUGACCUGAAUCGAGCAAGUCCCAAAGAUAAUUUUCCCUUACCACACAUUGAUACGUUGGCGGAUAACACAGCAAAACAUUCAUUAUUUUCUUUUAUGGAUGGAUUCUCGGGGUAUAAUCAGAUCAAGAUAGCCCCUGAGGAUAUGGAGAAAACUACCUUCGUAACAAUCUGGGGAACAUUCUGCUACAAGGUGAUGCCAUUUGGGUUAAAGAAUGCUGGGGCAACAUAUCAGAGGGCUAUAGUGACGUUAUUCCAUAACAUGAUGCAUAAAGAAAUAGAGGUCUAUGUCGACAAUAUGAUUGCUAAAUCCCGAGGGGAAGAAGAGCAUGUAGUGAACCUGAAGAAGUUGUUCGACAGACAGAGAAAGUUCCAGCUAAAGCUCAAUCCGGCCAAAUGUACGUUUGGGGCUACCUCAGGAAAAUUGAUUGGCUUCAUUGUCAGCGAGAGAGGUAUUGGAGUUGAUCUAGAUAAAAUAAAAGCCAUUCAAGAGUUACCACCUCCGCGCACGCAAAAGGAAGUCAGAGGAUUUUUAGGGAGAUUAAACUACAUCGCCCGAUUUAUCGCUCAACUUACCAACCAAUGCGACCCAAUCUUUCGACUCCUUCGAAAACAUAAUCCCGGAGAAUGGAACGAGGAGUGCCAAGUGGCUUUUAACAAGAUAAAACAGUAUUUGUCUAGUCCUCCAGUGCUAGUACCACCAAUUCCGGGAAGACCAUUGAUAUUGUAUUUGACUGUGUUCGAGAAUUCAAUGGGUUGCGUACUGGGGCAACAUGACGAGUUCGGAAAGAAAGAAAAGGCAAUCUACUACCUCAGCAAAAAGUUCACUAAAUAUGAGGUAAAGUAUUCGUCCAUAGAAAAAUAAUGUUGCGCUCUGGUUUGGGUAGCUCGGAGACUCAGGCAAUAUAUGCUCUAUCAUACGACAUGGCUAAUUUCAAAGUUGGACCCAAUAAAGUACAUGAUGGAAUCACCUGCACUCUCAGGAAGAAUGGCACGAUGGCAGAUCUUACUAUCAGAAUAUGAUAUCGUCUAUGUGAGCCAAAAGUCGAUAAAAGGGAGUGCAAUAGCUGACUUCUUAGCAACUCGAACAACGGAGGAAUACGAGCCAUUGAGAUUUGAUUUCCCAAAUGAAGACUUGAUGUGCAUUACAGAAAAAGAAUGUGAGUCAUCAAAAGAAGAGUCAUGGAAGAUGAGCUUUGAUGGUGCAUCGAAUGUAUUGGGGCAUGGGAUUGGAGCAGUCUUAGUAUCACUAGAAGGAAACCAUUACCCACUCACUGCCAGGCUAAACUUUUUCUGUAUCAAUAACAUAGCAGAAUAUGAGGCUUGUAUCAUGGGACUUCGUGCAGCAAUUGGACGAAACAUCAAAACUUUAGAGGCAUACGGAGACUCAAACUUGGUGAUAUACCAAAUCCGUGGAGAUUGGGAAGUGAGAGAUUCGAAACUGGUCAAAUACAGUGAUCUAGUGGCAGAGCUGAUUAAAGAAUUCGAAGAAAUAACUUUUAAUUACCUCCCACGAGAAGAAAACCAAUUGGCUGAUGCCCUAGCCACUUUGGCUUCAAUGUUCAAAGUAAACAGAGAAACAAAAAUAAUACCUCUUCAAAUGAGCAUAUAUGAAGUCCCUGCACAUUGUUUCAGCAUUGAAAAAGAGCCAGAUGGACGGCCAUGGUUCCAUGAUAUCGUAGAAUAUGUCAAGAACCAAAAGUAUCCCGAACAAGCAAAUGAGAAUGACAAAUGAACAAUCAGAAGAAUGGCAGCAGGAUUUGUUCUUGAUGGGAACAUCCUGUACAAAAGAGGAAAAGAUCAAGUGCUCUUGAGAUGCGUAGAUGCUGUUGAAGCCAGAAAAAUACUUGAAGAUGUCCAUGAGGGAAUUUGUGGGACACAUGCCAAUGGUUUCACUAUGGCCAGGAAGAUUAUGAGACUCGGUUACUACUGGCUGACAAUGGAAAGCGACUGCAUUAGUUUUGCAAGAAAAUGCCACAAAUGUCAAAUUUAUCGCGAUAAGAUUCAUGUAGCCCCUUCGCCCCUUCAUGUCAUGACUUCUCUGUGGCCCUUUUCUAUGUAGGGCAUGGAUGUUAUAGGGCCAAUUUCCCCAAAGGCUUUUAAUAGACACCGGUUCAUUUUUGUGGUUAUUGAUUACUUCACAAAAUGGAUAGAAGUUGCUUCGUUUGCCAAUGUGUCAAAGACUGCAGUUUGCAAAUUUUUGAAAAAGGAAAUCAUUUGUCGAUAUGGUUUGCCUGAGGGAAUCAUUUCAGAUAACGCCUUGAAUCUAAACAAUAAAAUGAUGAAGGAAGUGUAUGAGUAGUUUCAAAUAAAGCAUCAUAACUCGUCACCCUAUCGCCCGAAAAUGAACGGAGCUGUUGAAGUAGCCAACAAGAAUAUUAAGAAGAUUAUUGGGAAAAUGACCGAGACAUAUAAAGAUUGGCACGAGAAGCUACCAUUUGCUUUGUAUGCAUAUUGUACAUCUGUGCGGACAUCUACGGAAGCAACUCCUUUCUCUCUGGUAUAUGGAAUGAAAGCUGUGCUACCUAUCGAGGUUGAGAUCCCCUCUCUAUGAGUCUUAAUGAAAUCGAAACUAGAAGAAGCAGAAUGGGUUCGAGCUCGAUAUGAUCAAUUAAACCUCAUCGAAGAAAAACGUCUAAAGGCAAUUUGUUACGGACAGAUGUACCAGAAGAGAAUGAUCGCGGCCCAUGACAAGAUAGUACGGCUAAGAGAAUUCCACGAAGGAGAACUUGUGCUGAGAAAGAUUCUCCCAAUACAAAAGGACUUUCGAGGAAAAUGGGCCCCAAAUUGGGAAGGACCAUACACCGUAAAGAAAGCAUUCUCGGGUGGAGCUUUGAUUCUCACUGAGAUGGAUGGGAAGGAGUUACCGAAUCCAGUGAAUUCAGAUGCUGUGAAGAAAUAUUAUGCUUAAAAAAAGGAAAAUCAAGAUGAAAACCCGAAAAAUGGCAUCUUAAAAAAAAGAGAAAAGAAAAGAAAAAAGAAAAAGAGAGAGGGAUCAAGGUGAAAACCCGAAAAAGGCAUCUUGAUUAACACAAAAGAUUAGGAUGAAAACCCUAAAGAGCGUUCUAAUGAAGCAAGCACUGGCUUAAAAAGCAAGGCGUUUUGAACGGUGGGUCAAACAGAGAGACUACAGUAUUUGAAGCAUUUCUGAAAACUCGAAAUCUCUUACGCAAGAAAGCCAUGCUCGAAAAGAUUCUUGAUUGAGGAACGUGGAAGAGUUCAUGCGUUGAAUAUCUAGAGCAUUUGUAUUUGUUAAAAUGCGAUCCCCUUUCUUUUUAUGACACUUUUUUUUUACUAUCAUUGAUUAACUUUCUUUGUUUGCUACAUUUGAAAUGAAUAAAUGUGAGGUAUCCUUUUGUCCCUACCUGACCAUUUUCAUGCAUCUCAUUAUGUGGUUCAUUUACAUGAUAAAUGGUGAAAUGACAUACUCUAAACAAAAGAAGUGCUAAGCAUUACCCGGAUAAGAAUUUGAUAAGUACAAGAGCCUCAAAGCAAGGACAAAGUUCAACCAGGGGCAAAAGAGCGAUAUAUGAGAAACGUAGAUUAGUCGUGAAGCUAGAGGAUGGGUAGAGGGCCUGAAGAGAAAGUUCAGAGUCAAAUCAAUGAACGUAGAUCAUCAAAAAUCAUGACGGAAAUGGACAUAUGACAAGCAAGCCCAAGGCACAUAGCAUGAUCAUGUAGGCAUAAAGGCAUUUAAGGCAAACAUGUGCAUUUCAUGAUAACAUCAUGCAUGACAUAUACAUGUAUUUCAGCAGAAUAAGAGAUUUCGAUGAUAGCUGUACUGAAUCAAAGGAAAGGACACCUGAGUUCCACCAGAUGACAUCUUUUGGUAUUUUGAUGUUUUUAUUUCUAUCUUUCAAAAAAAUCAACUCAUAUUGCGAGAGGUGAGUUGGGUCUCAGGUCACACGCUGAGGUAUUUUCAAUUUCCGUUUUUUUAAUUUAUGCUUUUCAAAAAUCAACUCAUAUUGCGAGAGGUGAGCUGAGCCUCGGGGCACGCCGAGGUAUUUUUAAUUUCUGUUUUUCAAAAAUCAACUCAUAUUGCGAGAGGUGAGUUGAGCCUCAGGGCACGCUGAGGUAUUUUCAAUUUCUAUUUUUCAAUUUUUGCCUUACAAAUUCUUCUUUUCAAAUCAACUCAUAUUGCGAGAAGUGAGUUAAGCCUCAAGACACGCUGAGGUAUUUUCAAUUUUCAUUUUUUUAAUUUAUGUUUCUAAAAAAAUCAACUCAUAUUGCGAGAAGUGAGUUGAGCCUCAGGACACGCUGACGUAAUUUCAAUUUUUGUCAAAACUCAACUCAUAUUGCAAAAGGUGAGUUGAGCCUCAAGACACGUUGAGGUAUUUUCAAUUUCAGUUUUUCAAAAAAAUCAACUCAUAUUGCGAUAGGUGAGUUGAGCCUCAGGACACGCUGAGGUAAUUUAAAUUUUUGUUUGUCAAAAAUCAACUCAUAUUGCGAGAGGUGAGUUGAACCUCAAGACACGUUGAGGUAUUUUCAAUUUCUGUCUUUUAAAAAAAUCAGCUCAUAUUGCGAGAGGUGAGUUGAACCUCAAGACACGUUGAGGUAUUUUCAAUUUCUGUUUUUCAAAAAAAUCAACUCAUAUUGCCAUAGGUGAGUUGAACCUCAAGACGCUGAGGUAAUUUCAAUUUUUGUUUGUCAAAAAUCAACUCAUAUUGCGAGAGGUGAGUUGAGCCUCAAGACACAUUGAGGUAUUUUCAAUUUCUGUCUUUUAAAAAAAUCAGCUCAUAUUGCGAGAGGUGAGUUGAACCUCAAGACACGUUGAGGUAUUUUCAAUUUCUGUUUUUCAAAAAAAAUCAACUCAUAUUGCGAUAGGUGAGUUGAACCUCAAGAAGCUGAGGUAAUUUCAAUUUUUGUUUGUCAAAAAAUCAACUCAUAUUGCGAGAGAUGAGUUGAGCCUCAAGACACGUUGAGGUAUUUUCAAUUUCUGUCUUUAAAAAAAUCAGCUCAUAUUGCGAGAGGUGAGUUGAACCUCAAGACAUGUUGAGGUAUUUUCAAUUUUUGUUUUUCAAAAAAAUCAACUCAUAUUGCGAUAGGUGAGUUGAACCUCAAGACGCUGAGGUAAUUUUAAUUUUUGUUUGUCAAAAAUCAACUCAUAUUGUGAAAGGUGAGUUGAGCCUCAAGACACGUUGAGGCAUUUUCAAUUUCUGUCUUUCAAAAAAAAAAUCAGCUCAUAUUGCGAGAGGUGAGUUGAACCUCAAGACGCUGAGGUGUUUUCCAUUUCUGUUCUUCAAUUUCUGUGUUUCAAAAAAAUCAGCUCAUAUUGCGAGUGGUGAGUUGAGCCUUGAUUCACACGCUGAGGUAUUUUCAAAUUCUGUUUUUCAAAUUUUGUUUUUCCAAAAAAUCAACUCAUAUUGCGAGAGGUGAGUUCAGCCUCAGGACACACUGAGAUAUUUUCAAUUUUUUUUCAAUUUAUGUUUGUCAAAAAAAUCAACUCAUAUUGCGAGAGGUGAGUUGAGCCUCAGAUCACACGCCGAGGUAUUUUCAAUUGAUUUUUUUCAAUUUAUGCUUUGCAAAAAUCAACUCAUAUUACGAGAGGUGAGUUGAGCCUCGGGUCACAUACCGAGGUAUUUUCAAAAUCUGUUUUACAAAUUUUGUUUUAAAAAUCAACUCAUAUUGCGAGAAGUGAGUUGAGCCUUGGCUCACGUGCUGUGCUAUUUUUAAUUUCUGUUUUUAAUGUCUAGUUUUAAAGAGUCAAUUCAUAUUGCGAGAAAUGAGUUAAGCUCAGGAUCACAUGCCGAGUAAAGAAUAAAGACUGGAAUUAAUCGAAGACACAGAUUUUAUAUCCCUAAAGUUACAGUGAAGCUAAUUGAAGUUGCAGUGGAGCUGAUCGAUGAUAUCAGAUCUUGCCUUUCUAAAAGUUGCAGAAGAGAAAACCACAAAUUUUAUUUGACUAAAGCGAUGGAAGAGCAGAUUGAAGCUGUAGAUCUUAUCUUUUUGAAGUCACCUUGGAGUAAAUCGAAGCUACAAGGCAUAUAUCAGAAGAUUCAGUGGAUUUGAUCAAGACAACAAGAUACAGUGGUUUGGAAAGAGACUACCUGGAUGAGAAGAGCACCAAAGAAGUCCAUACUUAGUAAGACCGGGCAAAAUUGGCCUUUCUUUGUGUCUUUGCUUUAUUCCCGUUACACGAUAAUAAGCAAAGAGGGGCAGCUGUUGUAGGCCAAUUUUAACCCAUUUACACCAAAACCCAAUUUAACCUUACCUAACCCACCAAAAUUAAACCCAAAACCCAAAAUCUUAACUACCCAAAGCCCAAUUUACAUCAAAACCCUAAUGGCCCAAACCCUAAGCCCAAAUUAAAAUUAAAAAAACCCUAGCCCACAACCUAAACUUUUCUCAACUAAAUCCUAGCCUUUGCCACCACCAACUCCACUAGCCACACUUGCUCCACCACCUACUCCACUAGCCACACUUGCUCCACCACCUACUCCACUAGCCACACUUGCUCCACCACUACUUGUACCUACAAAUGAAGACAUAAACAAUAAAAAAUAUUUUGUAAAUGGCUAUAUAAGCCUUCUCAUAUUUUGUAUUUAGGGGAGGAAGAAGUUUUGGGAGAGAAAGUUAUUGUAAAGGAUUUUUGAGAGGUUUUUUGAGAGUAACCAAGGAGAAGAUUUAUUGUAAAGGCUAGUUUUUGGAGAGGCUAGUUUUUUUUUUGGAGAUUAAUCAAAUAUCAAAGCAAAAGAGGUUUCUUGGUCUAUUCUCGUUUUAAGUUCUUUGUUUGCUUAUUGUUUUCCUUUCAGUUUUAUUUUGUUUCUUUUAUACGAAAGUAAAAAUAAAAGGAGGAAGCUUUCCCAUUUUUACUGAAAAAGUUUUUUUUGAGGUCCGGCUGCCGUGUACGGUGGCACCGAUGGUAGCCGGCGGCGGUCCGGUGACCGGACGGUGACUGGCCUUGUGGCCGGAAAUCACCCACUCUCUCCCUCUCUUUUUUUUGUUAUUAUUAUAUUUCUUAAUAUUAUAUUAUAUAAAUAUUCUUUUAAUAUAUUAGGUAUAUUCUAAAUUCUAUAUUACAUAUAUAUAUUAUACUAUUUUAUGUAUAUAUCUUUAAUACUAUAUUAUUUAUAUAUAUAUUUUUUCUACAUGUUAUCUUAUGUAUAUAUUUUAAUUAUAUUAUGUAUGUAUUUUUUACAUUAUAUUAUGUACAUAUUUUUUUAUAUCUAUUUUAUACAUAUGUAUAUAAUAUAUAUAUCUUAACAUUACUAGUUAUAUUUUCACUAUUUUAUGUAUAUACUUCAAACACUAUAUAUAGUAUAUUUCUAACACUAUUACUAUUUAUAAAUAUAUAUAUAUUUUACGUACAUACUCUUAAUAUCUUUAUUAUGUAUAUAUUCGUUGUUUUUAUUUCACAUUGGAUACUAUUAUUACGUUUAAUAUAUCGCAUGCAUUGUUAUUGUUUUAAUAUUGUUGUCAUAUUUAUUAUUUGUUUCAAUGUAUUUCCAACUCAUUUAUUUUUGUCUCCCGCCUAUUUUAUAUCAUUCUGUUGUUCAUUAUUUUAAAGAUUUUUAUUCAUGUUUUUACUAAUUUCAAUAAAUAAGGCAAUGUUUCGCAUUUUGGAACAUCGAAGAAUUGUGCCCUAACUUACGGGGUUUCGGUUCUCUUGUUGGUUCUAAAUAGCUAAAUAUCCUUUUGAGUUUUGAAGUGCACGGAUUUCCAAUUUAAAUUAAAAGACGACCUUGUGCUCGGGAAUUCAUAGUAUUGUGUCCUAACUUACGGGAUGUGAUACUCCGAUAUCUCGAGAUAAGGAAAUCUUUAAACAAAUCGAUUUAAGCUAAUUCAAGAAUUUUAAAAUCAGUAUUAAUGGAAAAGAUCGUAUUUCAAGUCCCUUCCCGAUUUUUAAUUUUCGACAUUAAGACACUAACUAAUCAAUUCGGUACCAAUUUUUUGGGCGUGUCGAGGGUGCUAAUCCUUCCCGCACAUAACCGACUCCCGAACUCAUUCUCUUAAGUUUCGUAGACCAAAGGCCCUGUUUUAGUAAACUAAAAUUGAUUUAUUAAAACAAAGGUGAUCCGAUCACACCUGAUAAAAGAUUGGUGGCGACUCCCGUUUUAAUUUUCACUUUCAAACAAAGUCGAUCCCCGUUUUCAAAAGAAUGGUUUCGACAAGGGACCUCUCCUGAUAGGACGUGGAAGCCUUAAAGGCUCUGCCAGAAACACCGAGGUCCUUGGAAAGACAUUGUUAUUGGAAAGUUGCUUUGCCAAUAAUCGCAUAUUAAUGAGUGGGGGUCUUAACAAACCUCACCUAAUGGGACACUAAAACCUUAAGAGGCUAAGCUAAAAAAAUAUUAAGGCCCUUGAAAGGCCUACAUCGAAAACGGAACUGGAGCGUAAGAUUUCUCAUCUAAUGUAGCAGUGAAGCCUUAAAAGGCAUGUCUAAGCUUUCACUUUAUAUAAUGGUUAAAUCACUAUUUGGGGUUUGAAUUUAGUAACUUUUCUCAUAUUGAGGCCUAAAUUUUUUUUUAUUCAAGUUAGACCUUGAACUUGGCAACCAAGGGCGAAAUUAGGGGGUUGUCAGAGCCCUAACCCCCUAAAAUAGAAAAUUUUCUAUUUAGGCCCUUUAAAAUUUUUAAAGUUUUAAGUUAGUAAAGGUAAAAUUGUACUUUGAUAAAAAAUUAAUUUAAUCUUUUAAAAAUUAUAAAGAUAUAGGUUAUUAAAAUGGUGAAAUUGUAUUUUUGCUAUUGUGAAAAUGACAAUUUAAUUUUGGCCUCCUAAAAAAAUUUCUUGGUUUCGCCCAUGUUGGCAACUAUUUUCACAUUGAGGCUUGAACUAAGCAAUUGUUCCCACUUGAAGGUUUGAAAUUUUUUCUGUCCAAGUUAGUCCCUAAAUUUGAUAAUUAUUCCUACAUUGGGGCUUUCAAUUCAAUAACUAACUUGAACAAAAAGAAAUUCAAACCUCAAUGAGAAAAAAAUUACUAAGUUCAAACCCUAAAAAGUGAGUUACCCCUUGUACUAAUUUAAAAUUUGAUCUUUGAACCACUAUUAAGAAAAAUAAAAAGAUAAACUGUGAUCUAAUGUCAAGACGAAUCGUACAAUGAUGAUUGGAAUUUAUGAUACCAUGUAAUCAUGGGAUAUUAUGUUUUCCCGGCAUCUAGGAGGAGUAUAGGACAAAGAUAAAUUUGUCAACAGAAGGCAACCAAAUGAAAAUAACUUUAGUACCCUUAGAAUAAAAUGGAACGAACAUACAUGAAAGAAGUGCCUCAUAUUAUGAUGGUAAUUGAAAAGUAUAAUAAACCAUGAGAGAGAACCAAGAAUAUGCUUUUCACGAAGCACACAACGUGGAUCCCAUUUAAAUUAUUGCUUUCCUUUCGGUUUAGACUUACUCGAAGGGAAAGGGAUCCCAUCUGGUUCUAACCAUAUCAUGCAGAAAGGUUGCUUUCUAAAUCUAAUGACCAAAUCUUGUUAACAAUGCAUGGCAAUGGAAUUUUUAGUUUUUACUUAAUGAAGAUGAUAGGUCAAGUUUACUGCGUGGAAGCUGAAGAGCAAUAGGUUUAUACAUACAACUACACAACACUUUUCGCCUACACCUUACAUUACAACUUAAAAAGCUUAGUCAAGAGAUGAAUAAUGAAUCUACUGAUCCAAUCCUUCACAGCUGUUUUCUUCAUAAUAUUGGCCACAGUUUUCACGUCAAUCAAACAUUAUUAUCCUAUUUCAUAACACACCCAUGAAAUCAAUAUAUUAUAAAAUUAGUAUUAAUUUAAAUAAUGUAUAAGUGAUUUUCGAUAAAAUGAGGAGAGGAGAGGGUACAAAAAUGAUAAAAAAAAAGGUUUACUGAUGUUAAAAAAAUUUUGAAAUUAAGAAGUGUGUUGGAAUAUGUUAAUUUAAAGCAAGGAUAUUAAAUCAUAUGUGAAAAGUUUGUGGCCCAAGUAUAAACACUUAAAUAUUUAAGGGUCAAAGUGUAAAAUGAAAAAAUUGAAAAACCAAGAGUGAAAAUAACCUAAUUUAUCCUUGGCCUCGUUGAGGUGCUCCGCAAACUCAUAGAGCUUCUCAAUUUGCUUGGCUUCCUCAAAAACGUCAGUGAUUUGGUGGAUUUAAGGAUGGAUAUAACUCAGAAACUGGAAAUGUAAGCGAACUAAAAAGUCUGUGGAAGAAUGCAAAUUUUGAUUGUAUACUUUAAUUGCAUAUGCCAUCUAAAAAUAUAAUGGAAGGCAUAAUGCAUGGCAUCAUUAGAAACAUAUUAUAUGUUGGAAGCCAAUGCAACUUCUAGAUAAAAUUCAAACUUAUCCUUUAAGAAAAAUUUUUUUGAACGAUUCUAGAAUAAAAAAUAAACAUUCUAAUUAUUAAAUAUUUGUAAAAGUAAUGACAAUGAUGUUGACAUGUAUAAACAAUCCAAUGACCACUAAACUUUAUAAAUAAGGGUGGGAGCUUUCAUUCUUGUGGUGAUGUAAGAGAGAGCUAUAAGCAAGAGAGUGUGAGAGGUAGAGAAGAGAAAAGUAGUGAGGUAAGUGUGUGUCAUAUUAUAAUUGUAUUGUGUAUUAAUAAAAGUGUUCACUUUUCUUGUAAUUGUAAGUCUCAGUUAAGCUUUAGGUUUCUAAGCACUUAGAGCACUUUUGUUGGCUUUAAUGUAUAGUCGAUUUUGCCGCUUGAAUGAUAUAUAGUCAACUCUGCUGCUUGAGUAUUAUAAUGCACUAAGAAGUUAGAAAAUAAAAGGUUAAUCAACUUUAGAGAGUUGGUGUAACACUCAUUGUAGGUCUUAGGUCCUCUAUAGUUGGCAUGUUAGGCUCAUUGAGCUUCCAACAUUGUACAUGCAACUACCUAUCAAUUUAGAAUCACAUACCUAGUUAGUAUUCUAGUAAGGUAAGUUUGUUUUUUAGUUGGUUUUCUUUUCAAUUUCUUUAAAGAAACUAAUUAUAAAAUUACUAUAUAUACAUUUAGAAUCGCAUCCUAGUAAAAUGUUCUCUUGGUUACAAAAUCUGUUUCUCAAGAUGAUCCAAUAUAGGGUGGGGAGAGUAUUUUGUCAAUCAAGAGACAUCGAAGAGGUCAAGGCAACAAUGAAAAAGGAGGAGAAGAAAACCCAACACUGAAGUUAUUGUUGGUGAUAGUAUUGAUGAUGAUUCUGAUUUUAGCAAUAGCAACUUUAAUAAUAACAUUUUUCCAUCCCUUUUAAGUUUUUUUUUUCUUUCCUUCUCUUUCCUCUUUUGGGCCUCUUAUUGAUGUUGCUAGUUGUAUCACCCCAUAAGAAUCUACAUCUUGUAUUAGCUGGUGGUAGGAAGUGCUGGUUUUGCAAUUGUCGAUGUAACACCCUUAUACCCUGUUUGAUAGUAUGAAUCCGAUAUAAGACUAUUACAUUUGGUGCCAAAAUGGUUUUGGCUAGACACUAUUUAAUUUAACAUGUUAACAACAUCUUACACGAGACCCUUACCUAUAAAUACUUCCAUAAACAAUGAAGAAGGGAUCAACUCUUCCAAAAUACUAAGAUUACACUCUGCCAAUACUCUUUCCCCCAACCUUUAUGUUCUCUUCACCUCCACUUUUCAUAACCUCCGACUCCACCCUGAUUGGGUGAACCGACCUUCAUAGCAACCAUCUUUCCUCAUCAAUAUCAACAAUAUUAAUAAUUUUAAAACUCAAUUAAAAUUAUUUUAAACUCUAAACCAUAAAUUGAGGCAUCUAAUAAAAUUGAUCCUAAAGUUUUAUUGCUUAUUCUUUAGGACGGUUCCUAAACUACCUCGUCAUGGUUGUAUCUGUACCAUUCAGGUUAACCCUUUAUUAUUUUAGAAAAUCAACAAUAAAAUUCACAAUUAUUUUUAAAAAUUUUGAAUACAAUAAUAUGAGAUAUUAUGACAUCAUAAGUUUAAUAUUUGUAUUUGAAAUAUUAAUCCAUUAAUUUAUAUUUACACUUAAGAAAAACUAUUAAGUAUAAUUAUGGGAUAAAUGGUAAAAUCAAAGCUGUAGCAUCUGUAUAGAUUCUACUUAAUUUCCAAAUCAGUUGUAUAUAUAGUUUUGUGGCAUAAAAGUUUUUUUUUUUUUUUGGACUUUGCCUCAAAUAGCUGGAGUCCCACAUGAUCUCUAAGUUUUUUCUUUUUAUUGUACUACUACUUAGAUUUAACAAAAACAUUACUUUCGUGUUAUUACUUAUUAGUACAUCUUUUAAGAGCAAUCUAAUAAUAAUCCACAUGAACAUUAUGAACCAUAAAACAACAACAAAUUCUUGAUUUUAUUUUCACACGUACCAAUAUGCCAAAAUAUAUGGAUCCUUAAUGAUUAGAUUAUUGCAACCCUAAUAAUUAGUGCAGGUUUCAACAAAACAGGUGAUUAUCAUUAAGCCAACUAAUCAAACACGAUUUUGACAAGUAUAAUAAUUUUUAAGUUAAAUUAUCUAGUUGCACAUCUAAUUUUUAGUGUGCUUUCAUUUGGGUGAUUAAAAAUGAAAUUUCUGCAAUUUCAUCACUUAACUUUUAGAGUAUUUUUAUUUUAGUCAUCUAAUUAUUAAAUCUUUAACUAUAAUUAAUUUCUACAAGUCACAUCAUGUCCACACUUUCAUUUUUUUCACCUAAUGUUUAAGUUGAUUUCAUUUUAGCCACAAAAAAAAAAAAAUCCUUUUUUUAAGUAUUGAAUGAGGUAAAAAAAAUAAGGAUUAAAGUGAAAAGCGGUAGAAACUAAAAUAAUGCAUUAAAAAUUUGUCAAAUUGUAUUUGUUUAUCACAUUGCUGAAAAUUAAAUUUCUUUUUUUUCAAUAUUGAAAUUUUAAAUUUCAAAAAAUAAAAAUUAAUUAAAUAAAUUGUUGAAAAUUUUUAUUCCAUUAUAAUGUUAACUGAUUUAUUACUAUAAUAUUAAAAUUAAUUAAAUUAAUCUCAUUCUGAAUUUUAAAAUUUUAUUUUAUAUUUCCAUAUUACUUUUAAUGAAAUCAAUUUGAUAACUCAUAUUUAAUAAUUUUCUGCAAAACUUAAAUUUCUUUUCAUUAUAUAAUCUUAAAUCUUUCAUACUAAGCUAAAAGCAAAUUAAUUGUUUGUUCUUCGUUUCGGUAAAGAAGUGAUGAAGAAUUCUAGGUUUUGUUUGGCAUGGAAGAAAUAAUUAAUUGAUUUAGUUAAUUGUAAGGACUUUUCUUUGCUUUUAGCUUAGUAUAGAAGACUCGAUAUCAUAUAAUCAUAAGAAAAUUGAGUUUCAUGUACAAUUAGUAAAUAUGAUUUAUUUGAAUUGAUUUUAAGUUGGAAACAUAAAAUAAAAUUUUAAGAUUUAAAAGGAGACUAAAUUAAUUAAUUUUAAUAUUAUAGUAACAAAUCGGUUGACAUUAUCAAGAGAUAAUUUUUUAAUUAACUUAUUUAAUUGAUUUUGAUGUUUUAAAAUUUAGAAUUUAAUAUUAAAAAAAAGUUAGAACUUUCGACAAUGGAUAAACAAGUAUAAUUUAAUAAUUUUUAACGCAUUAUUUUAAUUUCUAUAACUUUUUCGCUUUAAUCCUUAAUUUUUUUUAUCCGAUUAGUAUAAAAGAAAAUAUUUUUGGAUAACUAUAAUGAAAGCAACCUGGAAGUUAGGUGACCAAAAUGAAAGUGUGAACAUGAUGUAAGUGUGUAUGUAACACCCCUUACCCAUAUCCGUCAUCGGAAUAAGGUACAAGGCAUUACCAGAGCUUAUCGAAUCAUUAUUAAUCAGGAGAAAAAGUAAAACAAAGUAAACAUGUAAUAUUUAAUAAAUUUGUAUAACAUGGUAAUUAACUUACUGCUUCUCUAUAUUCAACAUAAUUAUGCAAAGCAUAAUUAUUCGAAUUGAUCAUGAGCCCUAAUACCUAUUCUUAUCACAUUGUUAGUCAUAUAAUUCAUAUAUGGGCUCAACUUUCAUUAAAUUUCUCAUAUGCAUAUACUUUUACACACCAUUUAUUCACAUAACUUAUAACAAUCAUAUCUAUGUAUUUUAAAUACGCUUUCAUAACAAUUUGUCUUGAUUUCAAACUAUCUCACAUUGAAGCUUUACUCAUCAAAUCAUUUGAAAUACUAUCUUUAUACAAAUAGUACACUUGAGUUGCACAAUUCUAUAAUUAUGAACGAAUACAUUUAUAAAAUAUAUUCCAUGUUCAUAUAUCAUAGUCUCAUGUCUCCAUAUAUCAAAUAUUUAACCAUCAUUUUCUUAUAUUUCAAAUAAAUACAUGUAACCAUACAUAAGCAUGCCAUUCACCAUUUCUUCCUGUCUAUUACAAUUUCAAAUGACAAAUUUAUGUGAAUGAGCUCAACAAUAACCAUGAAAAUACUUACCACAUUCUUUCACACAUAUUCCACUUAUAACAUAUUUUUUUUAUAUUUGGCUUGACAUUUACUAAGCAAUAUCGGAUAUUCAUUUAUUAGGCAAUAUCAAAUAUUCAAAUUAUUCUUUAACAUAUAUAAUAUUUAAUUCAAACAUGAAUUUAUAACAUUUUUCAUUUUCACAAAGUUUAACAUUUACCAAAUAUUAUCGAGCAUGUGAUCAAUUUAUGCAUAAGUCACUCACAUAUUUUCCUCUUCUUCCUCUCCAUUCCACAUCCUUAAUGUAUAUAACACACUUGUAAAUUACAUUAUCUAUAAUUUUUACUAUUUACUUAUAUGAAUUUUCAAGCUGUCCAUUUGUGUCAUAGUCACUAAAUUAUUUUUGUCUUGAGCUACAGAACUCCAAAUUAAGAUCCGCUAAUUUUUCCUAAAACUAGACUCACGUAUCUUCUUUACCAUAAAAUUUUUAGAAUUUUUGGUUUAACCAAUAAGUACAGUUUAUUCUUUAAAAUCACCCCUAUUCUACUGUUUGACAGUUCUGACCCUUCUUCACUAAAAAAUAAUUAUCUCCUCGUACAGGACUUGAAUAAUGUUCUCGUUUAUUUCUCUUGAAAAUAGACUCAUUCAGGAUUCUAAAAAUAUAAAUUUAAGCCCCUAAUUAUUUUUAUUCAAUUUUUUUUUUGAUUUUCCAAAGUCAAAACAAGAGAACCCGAAAUCAUUCUGACCUUGUCUCAUAAAAUUUAUUAUAUCUCAUGAUUUACAAUCCAUUGCUUACAUCAUUUCUUCUAUAAGAAACUAGACUCAAUAAGCUUUAAUUUCAUAUUUUAUUCAUCCUCUAAUUCAAUUUCUAAAAUUUUUGGCGAUUUUUCAAAGUUAGACUACUGGUGCUGUCCAAAACAGUUUUAACGUAAAAUGUUGAUUUUCAUUUUACCCCAAAUUUCACAGUUCAUACAAUUCAGUCCUUGCUCAAUUAAUCCCUCAAUUGAGAUAAUUUUUCUCAAUUAAUACUUUAGUCUAUCAUUUUAAACUACUUCAUAACCCCUGAAAAUCAGAGCUUUAGCACUAGACCUUAAUUCCAAACUCUUUCAUAAUUAGGUCCUAAAAUCAAUUUCCCUCAAUUUUACUUACUAAAAUCAUCAUACAUCAAAAUUAAAGCUUCAAUUCUAUAUUUAUUCAUCAUAUGCUUCCAGCACUCAUCCAUAACAACUUUAAAAAUUAGCCAUGGAAUCAAAAACUAAUGACAUAGUAAGUUGGACGCAAUUGUAAAAGUCCAAAAUCUUAGAAAUUUCAAGGAGAAAGCAAGAAUUAAACUUACAUGAAGCUAUAGUAUGAAAACCAACUUGAACCCUCUUCCAUGGCUAUUUUUCAGCUGAUGAAAAUGAAGAGAAAUUAAGAGAAUUCUAGAUAUUCCAUUCUAAUCCCCUUUUUAUUUAGUAAAUUUUGUUAUUUUCCCAUUUUGCCCUUAUUUCCUCAAUUUUCCUGAUUUUUCUCUGCUUGUGCUGCCUAAAGUAUUUCCUUUAGGCUUAUUUUCACUUUAGGUCCUUCCCAUUUAACAAUUGAUCUAUUUAAUCCUUCUAGUAACUUUUACAUCUUUUUCAAUUUAGUUCUUUUUAUUUAAUUAAUCACCCAAAUGUCAAAAUUGUAACACCCCUACCCGUAUCCAUCGCCGGAACAGGGUUACAAGAUGUUACCGAAGUUUAUAGAAUAACUACACAUAAUUUUAAAAAUUUUCCUAUGUUCAUAACAAAACUGCCCCCCUAAGUCAUAGUCAUUAAAUUAUUUAUAUCUUGAGUUACAGAACUCCAAAUUGAGAAUCGCUAAUUUUUCUUGAAACUAGACUCACAUAUAUUUUUAUCAUAAAAUUUUAAGAAUUUUUGGUCCUUCCAAUAAGUACAGUUUAUUCUUUAAAUUCAUCCUUGUUUCACUGUCCAACAGUCCUGACCCCUCUUCACAAAAAUUUUAUUAUCUCUUAGUACAAAAUUCGAAUGAUGUUCUCGUUUAUUUAUUUUGAAAAUAUACUCAUCAAGGAUUCUAAGCAUAUAAAUUAUAACUCGUAAUAUUUUUGUACAAUUUUUAAUGAUUUUCUAAAAUCAGAACAGGGGAUUUCAAAAUCAUCCUGACUCUGUCCUACACAAAUUCAAAUAUCUCUUAAUAUGAAAUUCUUUUACUUACAAAGUUUUCUUUAUAUGAAACUAGACUCAAUAGGCUUUAAUUUCAUAUUUAAUUCAACCUCUAAUUCAAUUUCCAAAAUUUUUUGUGGAUUUUCAAAGUCAGACUACAGCUAUUAUGUAAGACUAUUUUAGUGCAAAAUAUUAAUGACUAAAGUUUAUAACACCUUUAUUUUCUUUCAUUACAAUAUUUCCUAUCACUCCCUUUUAUUUUCCUUCACUAUCAUAUUAUGAACAUAGUUCCUCAUGUAAGAAAACUCUAUUUUAACAUCACAAAUAUCUAUUACAUAAUAUCAUAUAUCCUUAAUUAAUAUACCAUAUGGCACAUCAAUAUGCAUAUUUUUCCUUACCAUACUUAUACUAUUUUAUCCAUGUGUGUAUGAGAACCAUUUAAAACCUUAUGAACUCAUAUGUUUAUAUAUAUAUACAUCAUUGCUAGCCAUAUCAAUGGCUAACUUCCAAACAUUGUGUAACAUUUAUUAUUUCACUAAUUUAGCUACACAUGCCGUUUUCAAAAUAAGUAAACUAUUAUACCAAAAUUGAUAGGAUGAUAGUGUGAUGAAGUCUCCGACCCGUCUUCCACUUCUUCCGAGCUUUCAAGCACUAUAAGACAAGGAAAAUAAAAUCUAAUAAGCAUAUUUAUGCUUAGUAAGUUCAUAUAACAUGAAUCAAACUUACCAAUCAUAUUUAAUAUUUAAAUCGUAUAAAAGCAUAAUUUUCAUUCAUUUUGGUUAUUUGCCUAUUCAUAAACAUUUCAAUCAAACACGUUAGUAACAGACGUACCAAUAGGCAUAGAUGAGCUCAUCAUGCUAUUGUCUCAUUCCAUCUCAUAUUUCUCAUGUUUUGUUUUACUAUCUCAUCCAUUGAAUCAUUGGAAUUAUCGAUGGAUUUUCUAAGAGUACACGCAAAGUGUACGUUUUCAUAUUUCGUCAAUUCAUAUCCAGGAUUUAGCCCUUAGGAUGUUAAAUCAUCAAGCACUCUCUCAAGUUACAUAUCAAGUAACCGUAACGAAUCAAGAUUACCAUUUUAGAGAAAAUCCUAUUCACCUUGAGUUACCAUAGUAAACAGGAACAAAUCCUAUCCACUUUAUAUAUUUCUAGUGAAUCAGGAGUAAAUCAUAUUCACUUUAAUUUCUUUUAGUGAAUUAGGAAUAAAUCCUAUUCACUUUUAAUUCUCGAGAAGGCUUUUGUCAGAUUUUUCCAUCCUAGCUCAAUCCAUUUUUGCAACUCAUGCAGAACCUCAUAUAGUUCGAGAAAUUUCCAUUAUCCAUCGAUCACCAAUAUUCAAACGGAAUUUCACCCAUUUAUUAAUUUCCAAACAUGUAUCAUUUCUUUCAUUUCACAUCUAUAUAAUUCAUAUAUUCAAUUUCAUACAUCAUAUACAAUACAAUACAAUACAACAUUUAAAUUGACAUAUUUACAUACUCAUUCAAGUUAUACGAACUUACCUCGAUAGCAACUUGUCAUCGAAAUUCUUUUAAUCCGAUAUUUUUUCUUUUCCACGAUCACUUUUCUUUUUUGAUCUUUUCGGGUCUAUAUAAAUAAAUUUAACAUCAAUUCAACAUAUUUCGUACAUAUUUGAAUUCAACUCAUGUUCUAGACAAAAUUACUAUUUUGCCCCUAAAUUUUUCAUAAAUUCCAUUUUUAUCCCUAGGCUUGGAAAUUAAUAUCUAUGCAAAAUAAUCCUUGUUCCAAGCCUAUUUGAUUUUUACAUCUCACAUUUACAGCACUUAUAUUUCAUAAAAUUUAGAAUUUUUCUUUAAAUUUCACAAGUUUACAAAUUAGUCCCUUUUUACAUAAAACUUUUAAUUUAUUCUUCAAUUUAAUCCUUUACCUAAUUCUAACUUGAAAUUCUAUAAAUUUAAACCCUAAUUCAUCAAUUAAUUCAACAUAAACCAUAUCCAAAAAUCUACUAACUUUCAAAUUUUCAACAUAUACUAAAUAGUAUUUUAUUCUAGGAUUCCAAAAACAUCAAAACUAUAAGAAAAGGAACUAAAUUGGCUUACCAAUUGAACUUGAAACCUUAAACCCCAAUUUCUCCCUUUUCUUUCUUUUCCUUUUUCCUUUCUUUCUUUCUCCCCUGUUUUUUCGUUUCUAUUCUGUUCUUCCUUUUUUUCUUUCUUUUGUUUAUUAUAUUUUAGUUAUAUUAUUUUAUUAUAAUAUCUAUAAUAAAUAAAUACAUAUAUAUAUUACAAAUGUACAUAUAUAUUUAUUACACAUUUAUAUUAUUAUUACCACACAAUUAUCAUAGUUUAAUUUAUUUUAUUUACUUUAUUUAAUUAAUAUAAUAUAAUAAUAUAAUAAUAUUUACUUAAAUUAUAAGUAAAUAUAUAAUAAUUACUAAUAUAUGUAUAUUAUUUAUACACAUGGAAAUUAUUUUUACCACACACAUGUCAAUUCAUGGCGUAAUUUCUUAUUUAGUCCCUUGGAUUUUCUCUAUUCUAUAAUUCAACUUUUACCCUAUGUUUAAUCUUGUCCUUCCACUCAAUUGCUCCUAAUUUAACAAAUUCACCUAUCCAAAACCUGAUUAACCACACAACUAACUUCGUAAAUAUUUAUUAAAAAUAUUUACGAAUCUAGUUUACCGGAACGGGUCCCGAAAAUGUAUUUUUUUUCAAUUAACUACAAAAUCAAUAAAAUUUUCUUAUCAAAAUUUUCAUGCAAUCUUUCUAUCAUAAUAUAGACCAUGCCAUAAUUUUAAAAUAAAAUUUCCUUUUAGCUCGGAUUUGUAGUCACAAAACCACUGUUCCGAUUUCACUAAAAAUAGGCUGUUACAAAAAAUUUUUAACGAAAUUUUAAUACUACCUUAUUGACACUCUAUAAAUAUUUAUAAAAAUAUUUAUGGCUUGGUUUAUAACACCAAGAUCUCGAUACUUUUUUUCUUAAUUUCUUGACCAAAUAAAUGUUUAUAAAAUACAAUUUACUAUUUCAAAAAUAUUUUAAAAGCUACAUUUGGCUCAUAAAUAUUAAAUAAUAUGAUCUACUAGUUCAUUUUUCAGAUUUGGUGGUCUCGAACCACUAUUUCCGACAUCGCUGAAAUUUAGGCUAUUACAGUGUACAAGUUAAUUGUUGUUAAAGAUUGAAUGGUUGAUUGACUAAAAUGAAAACGUUCUUAAAAUUGAAUAUAAAUUUAUAAAAAAAUUAUUUUGAGUGAUGAAAAUAAAAACACUCUUAAAAAUUGGAUGAAUAUAUGAUAGUUUGCCUUGAUUUUUAUAUAUACCCGAAUAUCUCGUAAAGAUAGUUGCUUUUUUGGCCUACAGGCAAACUAGGAUUACAAUUUCACAACUUGCUCGAAAAGGAAAGAAAAGUCAAAGAUACAUUAUUGGUCACGCCUCUUGAAUCAUCAAGUUAAAUGUCCUUGGCAAAUCUCUUAUCACCCUUUUGUACAUAACAUUGUCUAUAGCCCUACUAUCAGACAAAAAUCUGAAAUCUUUGAAAUCUAACGGUGUGAUAGAAGGUGAGUUAAUUUGGGUGGCAGGGGAUGCGGACUAACGGAGAGUGGAACACAUUGUGACCGCCUUAAAAAAGGGCGAUCGGACAUCUCCAUGUGUUGAGCUGUCACGGGAAAAACAUCACGGCGUGCCUCUCCUUAAUUCCUACGCAACUCUCUUUUCCGUGAUCAAAAUCAUUACAUUAUUAUUCAUAAAACAACAUUGUUGAGUUUUUUUAAAAUUUUUAUAAAACCUAUUGCCCAAAUCAAUUAUGGUAUUGAUAAAAUUGUUUUAAGAAGAGUAUUUAUACUAUGGUGUCAUUAAAGGAGACGUAUUUUUAAUUUUAUUAAGUAGAGAAAAUUAUAUAUAAAAUAAAGAGAAAUAAGAAAUAAGGCUAAUCAUUCCACACAGUUCCAAUUUGGUGAGUGAUUUUUAUUAUUUCAAACUCUGCUACUUAAAUCAUAUAAAGAAUCCUUUUAGAACCAUAGGAAACAUUUCAUAUUUUCGAAUUUAUUACUUGAAAACAAAUAUCAGAUUUGUCCAGAACAUCCGUGAAAACAACAUUCUUAAAUUUUAUAAAUAAUUAUUUGAGGACAUCUGGAGUCCAAAAAAGUCGUAUACAAAUUUACUUUUAAAAAAUUGUAUAAGUUUUGAAUUUUGAAGCAAAUUAUGUCCACCUUCAUAAACGAAAGAAAAAAAAAGAAAAAGGUCACUAGUUAAGUUAUUGACGUAUGAAGAAAAAAGUCAUGAAUAAAUAUUUUUUUAAAAUUAAUAAACAUAAUAUGCCAAAAAAACAAAUAGCAAAUGAAUUUUAGUGUUCAACAUAUGUGGGUAUCAAAUUUUAAAAUAUUCUAAUUAUAUUCUCAAAUUAUUUGUAUUAUAUCAAUUCAGUUAUUCCAUUAUUGAAACUAUUAAUUUAAUUAUUAAACAAUACAAAAUUUUGUGAUAUAAUUUAAAAUAAAAAUGUUUAACCUUUAAAAUUUAAAAAAUAAAAUAACAACAAAAAAAAAGAGAGUGACAAGUUUUAAAAAUAUCAAAAUUAAAAUUUUUAUAAUAUUCAUUUUCUUAAGAUUUUAUUUUGAAUUAUGUAAUUUAAAAUUUAAAAGUUAAAUUAGCGAUCUUAAUAAUAAAAGGAUGUUAUUAAUAUAAUAUGGAUAAUAUAAAAAUUUGAAAAUGGAAAUCAUAUAUUUUCAGGAUGACUGGGGCUUUAAUUUAUAUCUUUAAGAAUACAUUAAAUAUACCAAAAAGAAGAAAGGGAAAAACAAAAACCGAAACGAACAGAGAGUAUAAUAUUCAGUUAUUAACUUCCUAUAUAAAAGCAUCUAUUUUCUCUCCAACGCCAUAAACGUAGCAGAUUCAAAUCAUUUUAGAGACCACUCACCAAAAGGAAAAGAGAAGCCAUUAAAGUUGCCCAUCAUUAACUAUUCAAUUUUCGUUUUUUCUUUUUUUUGAAAGAAAAAACCCAAACCCUAACAUUGAAGACAAUGGAUUUUUCCUCCAAGGUCGCAAAGAAAGAAACCAGCGGUGGCUCAGGUCUUCUCUUAGGACGUUACGAGGUCGGGAAACUCCUCGGACACGGCACUUUCGCUAAAGUUUAUUACGCGCGCAACGUAAAAACCGAUGAAAGCGUGGCCAUCAAAGUGUUGGACAAGGAAAAAAUCCUCAAGGGUGGCUUAAUCGCUCACAUUAAGCGCGAAAUCGCUAUCCUCCGCCGCGUGCGCCACCCCAACAUCGUACAACUCUUCGAAGUUAUGGCCACCAAAACUAAGAUCUACUUCGUCAUGGAAUACGUACAUGGCGGUCAGCUCUUCAGCAAAGUCGCCAAAGGCAGAUUAAAAGAAGACGUCGCUAGGAAAUACUUCCAGCAAUUAAUCUCAGCUGUUAUUUUCUGUCACGCCCGCGGGGUUUACCACCGCGACUUGAAGCCCGAGAAUCUACUACUAGACGAAAAAGGGGAUUUGAAAGUCUCCGAUUUCGGGUUGAGCGCGGUUUCGGAUCAGAUCCGACAAGACGGUUUGUUUCAUACGUUUUGCGGGACCCCUGCUUACGUAGCACCGGAAGUUUUGGGGAGAAAAGGUUACGAUGCUGCCAAAGUAGAUAUCUGGUCUUGCGGGGUGAUUUUGUUUGUUUUAAUGGCGGGGUAUUUACCUUUUCACGAUCAUAACAUUAUGGCGAUGUAUAAGAAGAUUUACAGGGGAGAGUUCAGGUGCCCCAAAUGGUUUUCACCUGAUUUACUUCGGCUACUUACCAAGCUUCUGGAUACGAACCCGGACACGAGAAUAACCAUCUCGGAAAUCAUGGAGAACCGUUGGUUUAAAAAGGGAUUUAAACAUAUUAAAUUUUACAUUGAAGACGAUAAAGUUUGCAGCGUUGAGGACGGGGAUGAUGACCUGGGAUCAAGUUCGGACCAUUCAACGCACUCUGAAUCGGACGCCGAGCUUGAAACAAGGAGGAAAGUUACUACUUCAUUGCCGAGGCCAGCUAGUUUGAAUGCCUUUGAUAUUAUAUCCUUUUCGCCGGGUUUUAAUUUAUCUGGAUUAUUUGAAGAAGGGGAGGAAGGGGCAAGGUUCGUGUCAGGGGCACCUGUUACAAAAAUUAUUUCAAAAUUGGAAGAGAUAGCCAAGCUGGUUAGUUUUACAGUGAGGAAAAAGGAUUGUAGAGUUAACUUGGAGGGUUCUAGAGAAGGAGCUAAAGGGCCAUUAGCGAUUGCUGCCGAGAUAUUCGAGUUGACGCCUUCUUUGGUUGUUGUGGAAGUGAAGAAGAAAGGAGGGGACCGAGGAGAGUACGAGGAGUUCUGUAACAAGGAAUUGAAACCUGGGUUAGAGAAUUUGACGCGAGACCAAUCAACAUCUGAUGCACCUGUAACUGCACCCACACCAGCCCCUGCCCCUGCCCCUGCCCCUGCCCCUGCUGCAUAUUUACCUUCGGAUACGGAAUAGAUUUUAAAGAGUGAGGAAGAGGAGAAAAGGGUAAUUAAAGCUCUUUCCUUUCUCUCUCUCUCAUGCUUUUUGUUGUCCCCUUCCUUCGUCUUAGGCUGUCGUAUCAUUAAAAAAAAAAAGGUUGUUUUUGUCCUUUCUUUAUGUUGUGCUAGUUGGGUUGAGCUUGGGAUGGCUUUGAUAUAUAUUUGUAUGAUCUAUUCUUGCGUCCAGAAUGGCAGAUUAGAUCACAGAGGCUUGAAUACGAAGUCAUACAAAUCUCGGCAUUUGUAUGUCUGGCUGUAUAUUAUCAUCAACAUAAUUGAUCAUAUGAUUUAAUGAUACAUUCUAAUUUAUAUCCUCACUCUUUUGUAAGUUUGACUGGUUAGUGUGUGACAAGUUCAACGCUUAGCAUUAGCUCUAGUCUCUGUUGCUCAACUUCUGUAUGCUACUUUGGCCAGAUCGCUUUUAAAGACAAAUAGCACUUGCAAAUAUGACAAGUAUGACCUGAAGCAUGAGCUCUACUCCAUUAUUCAAAAGCCUUAGUCUCACUAGUUGAGGGUUUGGAAUAAUCAUCUUUGAGAAGAGAAGCAAAUUUUCUUACAAGCAGUUGCCUUCUGGUAGUAAUUUGUGCCAUUGUUUGUUUGAGGGUUGUAAUCUGAAUUCCGGCAAUUAGGGACAAAACCCAAAUUUCAUAUCAAGGGCGGGGAUGGAUAUAAUCUCUUGCAAGAACUGCAUUCCGUGCUUUGACACAUUUGAUGAAAUGCAAGUUGCACAAGUAACAUAGAAAAGGACUGCCAAGAGAACUGAAACAAAUCAUUAACUUCUUUACACUAAAUCUGUUAAUAGAUGUGGAAUACAAUCUGGAUUGUUGUGCUAGGAGGCAAUUCUCCGGUUGAGCCUAAGGUUAUAAUCGAGUCAAAUUGAACUUGAAUGGUGGUAAGUUUGAGCUCGAUUUGAAAUUAAGACUUCAAAACUCUGUUUAAACUUGAUUUGAACAUUAAUUUUUAAAUUGAAUUUAGCUUGAAACAUAUUUGAGUUACUCGAGUUUGAGUUCAAGCUCGAUUAAACUCAUUUAUUAAUGAUUAUACAAAAACUUGAAUUAAAAUCAAUUUUAUUCAACAUAGAGAUUCAUAAAAGACAAAAAUAUAUUAAAAAUUAAAAACUCUUCUAAUGUAAUCUAGAUAGAAUUUUCAAAUUCAAUAAAUUAUGCUGCACUUUAUAAUUUUAGAAUUAAUUUCAAAUUUUUUCAAGCUUGGACAUUAUUAAACGUGGCCAUUUUGAAAAUUGAAACCAUAAAUAUAAAUUUUGAAACCAUUUUAGGUUUUCCUAGUUUCUAAAGGUCAGUGGCCCAAAUGCAAAAUCAUAAUUGAGUUCAACUUUUUCCUUUUUUUUUUUACAGCAAAUGGUUGCGAUCGGAUUACGGCAUCCAUGCUAAUAAAAAAGAAUUAAGAUUACAGGUUGAUAAUUGGACCGUGACACUUAUAAACUGAGUCUGAUAACUGGAGUAAUAAUUGGAAAAGGCAUAAAUAAAAACAGUCUUGUGCUUUGAAGAAUACUAUGGAAAAUCCUUAAACAACAAAAUUCGUAAUUUGUUUGGUUUAUACUUUAUUCUAGUUUCCUCUUUCUCGUUUCCACGCAAUACUUAUCAAAUAUGACAAUGGCAAUGGCGGAUGGCUUCCAUUAUAUAACAACAGCUAUAGGGAUUCCAUGUGUCGGUGAAGACUGAUUUCAUGAUAAGCCUAGUUUCUCAAACAAUGUCGAUAGCAUGUGCAGGUCUCAACAAGGCAUGAGUUAGUUCAUGGUGUUCUUAAAUACUAACGUACGUAUGGUCUUGGUGCUCUUUUUGGUUCAAAUUUUGGCUAUAAAAUUUUGAUAAACGUAGAAGAUUUCAACGGAAACUGUAACAAAAAGCAUACAAUAAAUACUAUCUGUGUUGAUUUUAUAAGAAUGGGUUAAUUAGAUAUAUACAACCUAUUAAAAUAAACUUAAACAAGAAAACAUUAGAAACGAAGUGCAUUGCCAGAUGCUUAUGCUAUAUAUGCAUAGUUACAUACAUACAGAAUAGUUACAUACAUGCAUACAAAGGUGAAGCUUCUUACUCGCAACAAGAAAAUCCACGCCUUGCAAUGGUGUCAAUAUGGCAAGUAAUUCCUUAAGGUUGCUUAGCCUCAGCUUGUCAGCCUCCUGCAGUAUAUUCGCCAUAGUGCUCUUGUGUUCAUCCAGUGCAUGAUCUACAUCCCCACUAGAUUCACCCACUCGGCUCAUCCUUUUGGCAACCAUGGCAAUUGGUUGGUCUGCUAUGUUCUCCUGUAAGCCGGCCAACUGACUCGAAAGCGUCUCUUCUUCCUCGAUCGUCUUAAUGUGCAAAUUAUUUAUCAUUCUGAGCUGCGUUGCCAAAACCUGGCCUAGGAAGCCCUGGGUGAUUUCAAUGAGCUGGUACUCCACCUGUGACCCACAGAGUGCAUAAGUGAGUCGAAUGUAUAGGGAAGGUCUACAACCUGUUAUCCAAAGCAAGGAGUUCAAGGCGAUGUUCCAUGACGGUGAAAACAAGCCUGAAAUAUCCAGCUGGACUCUCUUCUCAAUAUACUUUAGGAAACUGUCGAGGGACCUCUCAACCAGUUGGGCGCAAGUGUUGUCCGUUAAGUUGCCAUUAUUUUCGUUCUGGUUAAGGGCUUGAAGGCAGCAAAGGAGCCCAAGCACAGGACCCAACUCAACGCAACAGAAGAGAAAGCAGGUUGAGUCAUUAACUUAGCCCAUCAUUGUUAGUUAGCCCAGCAGAGUGGGUUUUUGGGUAAUUGGCAAAAUUUUGGGUUAUAUUACCAUUUGGCACCUAUAUUUGGCUUCAAUGUUCAAUUUGGUAUCUGAGUUUUUUUGUGCCAAUUUGGUACCUAAUUUUGGUUUCAAUAUUCAAUUUGGUAACUAAACUAAAUGUCGAAACCAUUUUUAUUUUGAAAAACGGAGGUCGACAUUAAAACGAAAAUGGAGUCGCCACCAAUCCUUUUUGUUUAGGUGUGAUCGGGUCACCUUGUAAUCGAUCAUUUUAAUAAAGUAUUUCGGUUUAAAAACAAUAUUUUUGGUCUAAGAAAAACUAGAAAACGGAUUCGGGAGUCAGUUACGCGAGAGGAAGGAUUAGCACACUGGCAACGCCCAAAAUUGGUACCGUAUUGAUCAAUUAACAUCCUAAUGUUGAAAAUUUGAAAAAGAUUUUAAAAUACAAUUCCUUUAAAACAUUUGGAUAACUUGAAUUGGAUAUUGAGAUUCUCUCAUUUAGAAGGAAUAAAAUAUCAUAUCCAGCACGAUAGGACACAACAUUUCAAACCCUCGAUACAAGAUCAUCUUAUAAUUUCCAAAACUCAUGCAUUUGAAAUUUCAAAAGGAUAUUUGGCUAUCUGGUCAAACAGUAAGUCGAAACCCAACACGAUUGGGCAUGAUUUCUCGAAUUUUCAAACACAAAAUAUUGCCUCGUUUUAAUUUAAGAGAACAUGGACGAAUUUUCAAAAGGAUAUUCAGUUAUUCGGUUGAACGAAAAAUCGAAACCUAGCACGAUUGGGCACGAUUUCUCGAAUUUCCAAACACAAAAUAUUUUCUUAUUUUUUAGAAAUCCUUAUCUCGAGAUACAAAAUGUCAUAUCCAGUGAGUUAGGACACAACACCUCGAAUUCCUGAGAAUAAGCUUUUAUUUGGAACUUAUACGUUUUGAUUGAAAAAGGGUACCCGGUUACUUAGAUUCAACGAGGAAAAUUGGAACCCAGUAAGUUAGGGCACAAUCUUCUCGAAGAUGCCAAAUACCGAGUAUUGUCUUAUUUUGAAAACUUUUGAAUAAAAUGAUUUUACAACUUAAACUAUUAAAACACGACCUUUAAACGAAUAAAAUGCGAUGAAAUAAUAAUGUGCAACGCAAAGUAAUAAUUCACAAAUAAAAUGUUAUAAUAAUAAAUCACAAAUAACAAAUAAAUACAAAGUAAGAAAAUCUAAAAUAAAAUAUAAAACAAUUCUAAGCAAAUAAUACAUAAAAAGGAUUUAAAAUGAAUGUUAUAAAAGCGAUCUAAAGUAUAUAAAAUAAUUUUAAAAAAAAAAUUCAAUUCCAAUGAAAAUAGGAAAAGAGAGAAUAAUCCAAUUCCAAAUUGAAGUAGGAAUACCAAAAGUCCUCCAAAAGUAAUUUGUUUUCUUUCAAAGAACAAAAUACCCCUAUUUAUAUACAUGGGGUUUACUAAAAAUAGCCUAACUAAUUUAAUAAUAAAAUAAAAUAAAAUAAAAUAAAAUAAAAAUAAUAUCUUUCCAUUUGUAGCCUUUUACCAAGUCAACAAAAUUUGAUAACCCCUUAGCUUUCUCCAUCUUUUUGAUUUGGCCACAAUUUAAUGAUUGUCUUUCAAUUUGACCCUUUUUGGCUUGUUUUCGACCGAUUGCAUCCUUUGGUGUAACACCCCUAACCCGUAUCCGCUGCCAGAACAGGGUUUCGGAGCAUUACUACCAUUUGCAGAUCACAUAAAAAAAUUAAAAUACUUACUGAUUCAAUGCAUCAUAUAAAAUAAAUAUAUUACCAUUUAAUCAACAGUUUGGCACUUGUAUAAGCAUCAAACAACAACAUUGUUAGUAUACUUACACAUAUCUCAUAUAAAUUCAACAUUGAUAUAUCUAUUUUCUCGACAUGUCACACUUGAGUUUAAUAAUAGUCUCAAUUACAUAAUUUCCUUGUAUCAACAUAUCAAAGAUAAUCAUAUAUGUACAUGUCAUGAAACAUAUCAUGCUCUUACCGUUUCUUCACAAGCAUAUAUCAUUCAUUUCAUUAUAUCAAUAUUUUAUGCUUCAUCAUUUCCAUAUAUUUUAUGUAUAUUUAUUCUGGUAAUAGCUUAUAUCAAACUUAACAUAAAUUAUAUUCCAUGUACUUAUACUUAUUUCGUUUAUCCAUUUUCAUAAUUAUUUCAUACAAAGCUUUUGUACAUAUAUUUCCAUAUGACCAGUUCUUGUAAACAUUUCACACAACCAUUUCAUAUAACCAUUCGUCAUCUGAUACAUUUUACCUGAAUAUCAAUUGUUCAACAAAUUUUAUAGCGUCUCCCAUCCAUGGUCUUAUUUAUCUUUGACGUGAUGCCAUAGUGUCUUUCAACUAUGGUCUUACUCAUUUUCUGUCAUGUUGCCAUGAUAUCUUUCAACCAUGGUCUUAUUCUUUUCAUGUCACGUUGCCAUGGUAUCUUUCAACCAUGGUCUUACACAUCUCAUAUCAAGUUGCCAUGGUAUCUUUCAACCAUGGUCUUACACAUUUCAUAUCAGGUUGCCAUGGUAUCUUUCAACCAUGGUCUUACACACAGGUUGCCAUGGUAUCUUUCAACCAUGGUCUUGCACAUUUCAUAUCAGGUUGCCAUGGUAUCUUUCAACCAUGGUCUUACACACAGGUUGCCAUGGUAUUUUUCAACCAUGGUCUUACACAUUUCAUAUCAGAGAGCACACUCCCGCGAACCUCAUCCUUACAGUGGGAUUACCAGUCCAGGCUAAAUCCCCUGUAAUAUAAACUCAUAGAGUAUUGUCGGGAUUACCAGUCCAGGCUAAAUCCCCUGCAACGACAAUUACUCUAAUGAGCUUGGAUCUGAAUUACCAGUCCAGGCUAAAUUCAGACCUUAAUUCGGAUUACCCGUCCGAGCUAAAUCCAUUUUACACAUAUUCUUCGGGAGGGCUAUAUCAGGAUAGGAUCACCCGUCCGGGCUAGAUCCUUUUUACCGUCAAUUCCUUUUCAGAGAUCCAUCGAAUUUUCCUUUCAUUCAACCGGGAUUUCUUCUCCUUUUAUCAAAUUUAUCAAUGUUUCAUAAAUUUUCAUACAAUGAACAUUCAAAUCAUAUUCACAUAAAUAACAUACAAUCUCAAGCAUUUAAGAAUAUAAUUCAAGUUACACGAACUUACCUCAUUGCUUGUUUGUGUUUAUAAUUUCAUUAAUAUGAUAUCUUUUCUUUUCUAUGAUCAAGUCUCAUAUUUGAGUCGUCCGGAUCUUUAUAAAUAAAUUUGAUCAUCAUUUUCAUUCAUUUCAUAUUCUAAUGCAUUUAGUUAAUGCUCUAGGCAAAAUUACCAUUUUGCCCCUAAACUUUUAAUUAAUGAUGAUUUCAUUCUUAGGGUCAGGAAAAUAAAAUUCUUGCAAUUUAAUCCUUAUUUCCAGCUAUUAUUCUCAUAUAUAUUGAUAACAAUCCAUGAAUUCUAUAAAAUAUCAGAAUUUUUCAUAAUUUCAACACUUUUCAAUUUAAUCCCUAAAACAUGUUUUCCCCUGAUCUUGAACUAAAUUAAUAAUUUCAUUCAAUUUUGUAAUUUAAAUAAUAAAAUAAUCCAUUUCAUGUAAUUUGGUCAUUUCUGACAUGUUUACAAAGUUGCUCAUAAAGUUUUACUUUUAUUCAAUUUAGUCCCUGAGCCUAAAAUAUGCAAAUUAGCCAUGCUAGAUGAAUAUUCAUACAUAAUUUUCCUCCUCCUCCUCUCCAUUCCACAUCCUUAAUGUAGAUAACACACUUGUAAGUAACAUUAUCCAUAAUUUUUAUUAUUUACUUUUAUGAAUAUUCAAGCUGUCUAUCUGCAUCAUAGUCACUAAAUUAUUUAUAUCUGGAUCUAUAGAACUCCAAAUUAAUAUCCGAUAAUUUUCCCUGAAUCUAGGCUCAUAUAUAUUCUUACCAUAAAAAUUUCAGAAUUUUUGGUUUAUCCAAUAAGUACAGUUUAUUCUUUAAAGUUACCCCUGUUCUGCUGUCUGACAGUUCUGACCCCUCUUCACCAAAAAUUAAUUAUCUCCUCAUACAGGAUUCAAAUGAUGUUCUUGUUUGUUUCUAUUAAAAAUAUACUCAUUCAGGAUUUUAUAAAUAUAAAUUUAAUCCCCGAAUUAUUUUUAUUCAAUUUUUUAUGAUUUUUAAAAGUCAGAACAGGGGAACCCGAAUUCAUUCUGACCUUGUCUCACAAAAUUCAUUAUAUCUCAAAAUUUACAAAUCCAUUGCUUACACUAUUUCUUACAUGAGAAACUAUACUCAAUAAUAUUUAAUUCCAUAUUUUGUUCAUCUUCUAAUUCGAUUUCUACAAUUUAUGGUGAUUUGUCAAAGUUAGUCUACUGCUGCUGUCCAAACUGUUUUUGUGCAAGCUAUUAAUUACCAUGUUAUAACACCAUUAUUUUCUUUUUCUACACCAUUUCUCAUCACUUUCUCUUAUUUUCUCUUCACUAACAUAUCAAAAACAUAGGACCUUAUGUAAGAAAACUCUACUAUAACAUUAUUUCCAUGCUUUGUCAAUAAUAACAAACUUAAAAACAUAUUGAAAUCUUGAUAUACUUAUCUUGUUCUAUUGAUACUAAUCUUUAACUUGAUUUUAGCUUCUAUUUCUUGAAUCCAACUUGAUAUUCUAACUCCCCAUGCUCUCCUUAACAUUUUUGUCUCUUGGUAGCUAUGGAAAUUCAUUUGAUUUUUGGGUGAAAAUGGUGAAUUUUUGGUAAAAAGACCAAAUUGUAAAGAAAGCAAAACUUUCUUUCUUCCUCUCUUUCUCUCACGUUAGUGCAUGGGAAAAUAUGGAUGAGAAUUUUUCAUCUUUCUUUCUUUAUAUACUAAUAAAAUAAUAAUAAAAUAUCUUAUUAAAGUAUUAAUAAAAUAAUAUUUAUCUAAUUAAAUAAUUAUAAAAUAUCAAAAUAUCUCUAGCAUCAUUAUUACUUUUUAGAUUUCUCUCUCUUCCAAUUGACCAUUUUUCCCUUCAUUAUCUUUUAAAAUUCCAUCCUUGAGUCAUCAUUUAAUUUGGUAAAAUUGUAAUUUAGUCCCUCAUAGUUCUUCAUCUAUUCAAUUUGGUACUAAUUCAUCCAUUUUCCUUAGUUUCUAGAUCAUUCCACUCUUAAAUUAUUUACACUAUUGGUCCUUCAACUUUUUCAUAUUUACACUUUAACCCCUCAAAUUAUGAAUAUUUACUCUUGUGCAACAAAACUUUUCUCACUUUUACAAUUUAGUCCUUUCUUGAAUUAAUAUAUCAUAAUAUACUUCUCAAUAUUGACAUAACUCAAAAUUUCCCUUUUUGUCAGUUUAUUUCCUUAUUUUACUAUAUCCAGGAUAAUAUCUUACUGUAAAAAUUUUCAGGGUAUUACAUUUGGCUUCGAUUAUUAUUUUUUUGGGCCGAGGCCAAAAUUGGCCUAUUACACUAAACAAUAUCAUUUCCAAUAAAUACCUUACAUGUGUGCUCUAGUAAAAAAGAUAGGAACUUAAUUGGGACAAAAGAAAAAUUAAGGUACCAAAUUGAACAUUGAAGCCAAACUCAGGUAGUUGUAUGAGAUAAAGAAAAGCUCAAGCAUCAAUUUGAAAAAGAUAAAGUACCAAAUUGGACAUUAAAGCCUAAGUCAGGUACCAAAUUGGGACAAAAAACUUAGGCAUCAAAUUGAACAUUCAAGCCAAAUAUAAGAAUCAUGUAGUAUAUUAACCCUAUAAUUUUCAUCUUUUUUAUUUGUUUACUAUAAUUGGUGAUUUCACUAUGUUAUGUUACAUCAAUAAAUAUUGGGUGUAAUAUAAGAUAUAUUACAUUCUAAAGAACAAAUACAAGUUUAAAUUUUGGAAACGAAAUUAUUGGAAGAGGAAUCAAGAAUCUCGAACACUGACUAUACAAGAGACAUUAAAUUAAUGAGGUUAAUAGAUUUUUAUAUUUUUUGUAGGAGUCUAAAUGUAAUUUGUAUGCUAAAAUUGGGGUUAAUUUGUCUUUGAUUCUAUUUAAUAAAAAACUGAUUUGGUUUAGAAAAAAAUUCUAUUAUGCUUAUCAAUCAUUUGUCUUGUGAAUGCAUUUUAUCUAUUUAGUUUAUAUUAGUGAAAUCAAAGGAGCAAAAAGAGGACGAUAGAAGGCCUUUAGAAGAAUCAAAUUUCACUCAUGGCGAACAAAUUGAUUUAGGUAAAGUGAUGAAGAUUACAAAUUAAUGACUUUACAAAUACUUAAAUUAGCAACAAAAAAGAAGAAGAAAACCAAUUAUUCUAUCAUGAAACUAGUAUAAAGAAACCAUAAAAUUUUAAAAUUCUCAACUAUUUAACAAUAUUGAAGAGGGAAAACAAAAGUGUGAAUUGGUUUAUUAGUAUUACAUUUGAAACUUUGUAAUCACAAAGUACAUUAUAUCUACUACAAUUGUAAUACAUGCGAUCCAUGUUACCAAGUAUAUCAUGCACUUCUUUUGCAAUGAAGUAGUGGCAAAGAUGAUAUGGGCUAAAAUAUUGAAGGAUUGGACAAAUCCGAUGUGUAUAAAUGAAAACAAAGUGACCAAAAAAGAAAUGGAAACCAAGUACAAGGAACAAAGGCUUUUUUUUCUCUCGAGUGGGCGGGGGAGGAUUUCUAUUUUGAGACAAAGAAAUUAGGUUGUCUCCAUCGAUAAAAUCUCUAGUUCAGCCCACCAUGUGGGGGAAAGCCUUGGCGUAGCAUGCUCAGGUGGGAUGUUAAUUCCUUGCCUCAAUUUGGAAGUGAUACCUUUCAUUGUUGGUCUUUUUGCCUUGCAUCUAUUUGGAUGCAUUCAUUUAUAACAUCACAGAUCACCUCAAGCUCGUCAUCUUUGAGAGAUUCAAGGGUUGGAUCAAUCAUGUUGCUGAUGCUCACUUUUAUCAUUUAAACAUUCAUCGGCCUGCCAAGUUCAUUAGUACAAGUUUACCAAACACCCUAAACAUAGCCAUUUCUCGAUAGCACCAUGCUCUGCUGAGUAGGGAAGCUUUCCAGAAAUGAUUUCGAUUAGUAAUAUUCCAUAACUGUGGACAUUCACUUCCGGAUCAACAAUAGGUGGCAACUCAGAAUUUUGUGAUUCACCAUUACCCGAGGAUUUCAACUUAGAGAUACCCUCUAAGCUAGCUAUCAAUUUCUCCAACCAGUGUAAGUAAAAGAGGAAUAAAACAAAUGGCGUGUUUUGUGAUUAUAAGAACCUUUGCAGCAUAAUCGUCUGUUAGAAAGAUAGCUUUUGAACUUAAGUUUGAAUGAGAUGAGGGAGGAUUUAGAUCAUGGUGCGUAUAUUGGAGGCAAUAAGCUACACCCAUAAUGACCCUUACCCUUGCACUCCAAUCAAGAUGCUCCAUUUCUUUAACUGAAAACAAAGACAAAUGUUUAAGCUCUCAAAGAAUCAAGGUUGAGUAAAAUGUUUACCGCGUGUAAAUUAUAAUAUUACCAUGCAGAUGUUCAAAAAGGGUUCCAUUCGGAGCAUGUUCAAAAACUAUCAUCCUGCUGAAAGGGUUCAUUCUCCUCACAAUAGCCAAUAAGGUUGACAAAGUUCUUAUUGUUCAAUCGUGACAAUGCAUCGAUCACACUGCUUGCCAUCGUGUAUAUAUAUAUAUUAUAACAAUAUAAAAUUAAAAAAACAAUUUUUUGUGGGGUCUUAUAAUCUAUCAUUCCUCACUAUAUUAUAUUAUUUUAUCAUGUAUAAUCAUUUAUCAUAUUUUUAAUAAAAUUAAUUAAAGAUGAUAUCUUUAUUCAUAUAUACUAUCAAAUUUGAAAUAAACAAAUUUCUUGUACUCAUAAUUAAAAAAUAAUAAAUUAUAUUUUUGAAUAAAAUAAUUUUUGCUUCAAAGUUCCAAGAUUCCUUACUUUUUAAUUUUUUUUAAAAAAUUAUUAAUUAUAUUUGACACCAACUACAAUAGAAAUUAAAGUACUGUACUGUCUUAUAUAAUAAAAAUAUUAAAUUGUCUUAUAUAAUAAAAAUAUUAAAUUAUAUUUGAUAUAAAAAUUGAUCAUGAGAAUAAAAAAUUUUAGGUUAUUAAAAAUUUGCAAGUCUAAGAAUUUAAAUAUAUCUUUGAUUGAGUCAUAGCUUAAUUGGCAUCGACAUUGUUGUCAGUAUAGAAGAACGUAAGUUCGAGCACGUUGAAACACAUUUAUCUUCCUAUUUAAGAGUUAAUGAGAGAUUCUGAGUACUUCCCGUCAUUGUAUAAAAAAAUAAUUUAAAUAUAUUAAAUAUUAUUGUAGUAAAUUUGAUUUGAAUAUAAGUACUAUUUUUAAUAUACCAACAAAUUUAAAAAAAAGAAAGAAAGAAUUUGUACAGGUAGCUUAAAUAUAUGUGAGAUUACUAUAUUAAAUUUAAUUUAAAUGUUUUAAUUUUUUAAAAAUAAUAUUAUGUUGAAAAAUGAAAAUAUGAUGUUGUCUAAAUAAUAUUUAGUAAUUAUAAUAAUGCGGGAAUAAUAUUUUUAAUAUGGCAAGAGUUUUAUAUAAAAAAGAUUUUAUAUGACAAUAAUCCCUACUCUAUUUUGUUUAAAUUAAUUAUUGUCACAUGUCAUGUGUAACACCCUUAUACCAUGUUCGACUCAAGGAACCUAAUAUAGGAAGACUAUAUUUGGUGCUAAAAUAAUUCUUGGCUAAUCACUAAUAUAUUAGAACAUAAAAACGGACACUUGGAACAUACUUAAUAUUUUUCCUAAGUACAUGCCAUUCUAUUCAAAAUUUUUAAAACAUACCCUGUUGUUGCUUGAAGAUGUGAUGAGAUGAAAGCUUGCAAUCUCAAAAUUCAACUCUUCAAAAAUUCCUGUACCUAAUCUGUGCACAGAAACAAACUGUACGUUGAGUAUACACCCAAUGGUAUUACUAUAAUUCAAAUACUUAAGGUAAAACAAUAUAUAUAUACAUUAAAUCUUACCACUAUUUUACCUUUAAUAAAUCUUUCAUGCAUUUAAACUUUAAUUUUAAUUUAAUAAUAUGUAUUUUAAAUAGCUUUUCUUCAUUUUAAUUUAUAUAUCUUCUUACUACAUCAAUAUCCAUUUCAUGCAUUUCAUCAAUAACCAUUUCAUAAAUCAUUAUUUCAUAAAUUUCAUUUCUAUAUCUCAAUUCAAUAACUUAUUCUCAAGAAAAUAUUCAUUUCUAUUCAUAAUCAAUCAAUAACAAUCAGUUGUUCAGUACUUUAAUAUAACCAUUCAAUAAUCAUCAGUUAUUCAGUAACAUUAGUCUUUUAAUAAUUAUUUAAACAAACAAUUUUCAAUAAAAAUAAUUAUAAUUAAUUCAUAUGAUUAUAUUCAAACUAACUCAUACACUAUUUCAUUAUUUCCUAUUCAUUCUAUUUUCACUUCUUAUUUCGAUAUCUCAAUUUCAAUUCAUAUUUCAAUUCAUAAUUUCACUUUCUCAUACUUUUAAUAGUUCAAUAAAUCAAAUUCAUUCGAUUUUCUCAUUUCAUUUAUUCAACUGAUUUCAAUAUCGAUAAUUUGAUAUUUAACAAUUUUAUGAACCUUAAGUUCAUGUUUCAAAUCUCAUGUCUCAAUUCAAUUCACAAUUCAACUCAUAAUUUCUUUCUUAUAUUUUAAUAGUAUGAUUAAUCAAAUUUAUUUAAUUUUCUCAUUUCAGUUAUUCACCCUAUUAACAAAUCCUGAUCUUGGCGAAUACACGGAUCCAACUAACACACCAGUACGACACUCAGUGCCUCAUCAACUUUGCCGAAGUAAGCAGUAACAGUACAUUACUUAAUACCUCAUCGGAUUAAACCGAAGUAACAGUAACAGUACGACACACAAGGUGCCUCAUCGACUUAAAGUUGAAGUAACAGUACGACAUUUAUAGUGCCUCAUCGACUCAAGGUCGAAGUAUCCCUGAAUACUUCCAAUCCUAUGGCAUGCCAACUAUAUCCGACUCAGCCCAACUAGUUAAUAGGGUGUUCAAAUCAUUUUUCCAUUUCAAAUUCACUUUCAAUUCAAUCACAAUUCAAUUCAAAUUCACCUUUUCACUUUCUAAUCAAUAUACAAUUCAAUACCAAUACAUAUUUUAGAUAAACACAUAUAAUCAUACUUUGAUUCAAUUCAAUCCACUUUUCAAUCAAUACACAAUUCACAUAUUCACCAUAUUCAUAAUUUAAUUUACAUUUAUUCAAUUCAUAUUUUCGAUUCAUUUUCCAAUCAAGUUCAAAUCACUAAUCACUUUUCAAUUAAUAUACAUUUCAAAUAAUCACACAUUUUCUUCAUUCAAUUCAUUUUGAUCCAAUUCAAAUCACUUUUAAUUUCCAAUUUGUUCACAUUUAAUUUCAAUGGCCAUAAAUACUUUUAAAUCAAUUUCAUUCAAAUUAAUAUCAUUAUUUCAAUUAAUUUCCUAAAUUUAUCUACCAUGCAUUUUAAUUAAAAUAUAACAAUUAAUAAUAAAUAGAUUUGAAUUAUAGUAAUACAAACUCGGAUUUAUUCGAUUACUCCUCGAUAACUUUUUCCUUUCCUUUCGAUGCCGAUGCCUCGGGUUCCUUGUUAGCUAUGAAAAUUAAAUUAUUAUACCAUUAAUUACAGCACUAAUUAUAACAAAUAAUUGAAUUUUUAUUUAAUUUACACCUUAUUUUCAAUUAGGUCCUAAUUAACUCAUUCACUUUACUAACUUAAUUCUCACUUCAUUCUUAUUCAAAUUCCUAUCAAAUUCAAUCUAACUAUCAAGUAUUCAUAAUAAAACCCUAAUUUAAUUUUUUUUCAAUUUAAUCCCUCAAUCACAAAACUUAUAGCUUCUUUUACAAUUUAAUCCCUUCAUCAUUUCUAACUUGAAAUUCAUUCAAUUAAACCCCCUAAUUCAUAUUUUUGUUCAACAUGAACUAUAUUUGAAAACCUAUGAAAUUCCAAAAUAUUAACUUAAUUUCAUUAAAACCUUGUUUUAAAACUUUAAAAAUAUCAAAAUUAAGUAAAAAAGGACUUAAUUGACUUACCUUGUAAAGCUUAAAGCUUCAAAUCCCUAGUUUUUCCUUUUUCUUUUCUUUCUUUCUUUCCUUUCCCCGUUUCGAAUGCUCUCUGUUCUUUCUCCUUUCUUUUUCUUUUUUCUUUUUUAUUCUUUUAUAUAUAUAUACUUUAUUUUAUUUAUUUACUUAACAUAUAUUAUAAUAUAUUUAUUCUAAAUAUCCAUUAAGUAUUUAAUCAUAUAUAUACAAAUGGACACCAUCAAUACCAUACAAUUGUCAUCAUUUAUUUUAUAUUUCACACAAAAAUCUUAUAAUUUAAUUAUUUAAUUAACAAUAAUAUAAUUUAAUCUAAUUAUCUAUUUGUUUAAUAUUAAGUAAAUAAAUUAUUUUAUAACAAGUGUACAUAUAUCUAUUUAUUACAAAUGUACCAAUAUUUUUAUUACAAUUGUCAUUAUUCAAUUUAUUUAUUAUACAAAAUCUCAUAAUUUAAUUAUUUAUUUAAUAAAUAUCUUAUGCUUAAUUAUUAAGCAAAUUAAAUCUAUAAUUUACAAUUGUACGCUUCAUUUUAAUUUAUUUAAAAUAAUAAUAAUAAUAAUAAUAAUACUUGCCGCCUCAACCAUUAAGAAUGGUUUAUUUGCCAUUGUGGUCCCCCUUUCUUUUCAUUUAUCUAUAAUUAAACUUUUACCCUUAAUUCAAUUUAAUUCUUUUUCCUAAUUACCCUAAAUUAAGCUAAAUUCACCUAAUUAAAACAUAAUUAGGUACACUACUAGACUCAUAAAUAUUCCUAAUAAUUAUUUACUAAUUCGAUUUACUAAGACGGAGGCCCGAUAACUUACUUUUCUGAUGUCCGUGAAUUUUGAGUCAUUACAUCAUGUUUUAUAUAUACUGUAAACCAUCGUAUUUUACACUUUUAAUUUUUACGAUUACAAUGAAAUCAUCAUAUUUUUCAUUCAAAAUAACAAUUAUUGAAGAAAAAAAUUAGUCAAACCCUUUAAAUCAAUUUAGUUAAUUAUUUUCCAUCUUUAAAUACAGUUUUUCCUAACGCAAAAAAGAGACUAAAUUAAUUUCCAUAAACCUUUAAAUUCAAAGUACCUUUUUCCCUUCCUUUUAAGUAUGAAAAUAAUUACAUAUCCAAAUUUAAAAAAGAAAAAGAAAAAGAAGUUACAACAUCACAACAUAUGAAUUAAAACUAUUAAAAAUACGAAAUUUAAUGCUUAAUCGGGACAGAAAAAUAUGUUAUUGAAGAUUAAAAAAAAUUAUAAUUGGCAACAUAUAAUGUAAAAAGCAUAAUUAGGUAAUACAUACCAAAUUUAAUUUUUAUUUGAUAAUUAAUUAUAAUUAAUACAAGAUCUAUAAUUAAUUAUAGUUUUUAUUUUUAUUUUGUUAGAUAUCAUCUUAUAUAAAGUUCUUAGUUGUUGUUGAGAUAAUAAAAUAAAGUGUUGAGUUACUAAAAUUCUCGGUGAUAUGAUAACUUUCAAUUUCGAAACUCUCUUUUUCUAUACUUGUAAUUAUAUGUAGCACACUAAUUCCUACUAUCUUAUUACUUUAUUUUACAGUACCCACGAGUGAAAUUUAGAUGGAGUAGAAAAUACACACCAGCAAGUAUUAGAUUUCUUUUACAAAUUUUCCUUUGCAUGGAAUACCACCUCUUUUUUUUUUAAUAAGUUUUAUUAGAUUUUGGUUUAAUUUUUGGAAUGAUCUUGAAAUUGAAAAAAAGAAGAGAGAACUUGAUAUUGAUUGAAGACAUUACUGGUCAAAGAUGAUGUCGUGCAAAAUAAUUCACGACAACAGUUGUUUUUUUUUUUUUGAGAGAUGAAGAGUUUUAGAUAAAACAAAUUUUUUUUAAAGAAAAUAAAAAAGGUUUUAAGGGUUUUUUUUAUAUAUUUUAUAUAAUUUUUUUGUAAUUUUUUCAUUUUGAAAGGUUUUAAGGUUUUUUUUUUUUUUUAUGAUGAUGCCACACAUGACAGCAUAUAAUUGUUUGGAUAAACUUUUUUUGUAUGUAUCAUAAAGGCAUUGCCUGUACUCUUACUAUCUGUGUUGUCUAUUCUUCUACAGCUUUGUAUGUGAGCCAGUGCCCUCCAUUGCCCUCCAUUUAGCAUAAUGGUUUCAAUAUGAAUCUAAGAUUGGAGGACCAUGGAUUGAGUGAUUGAUUAUUGAAAACCCCAUCAUCUUGCUCUGGUUUUGUCGUGUGAUAUUUCUGCGGCAAGGUACACCACAACUUCUAUGAUCGUAAAUUUUUUAGCACCGAUGAUCUUUUGUGAAGCUCCUCAUUGUGUAAAAAACAUACUGCUGUUCCAUGCUAAAGGUAUUGUGAUGUACUGAAAAGCUUAUUAAUCUAUGGAAGUUCCUUUAUAGACUAAAAAAAAAAAAGUAAACAAAACCUUAAUUUCUCUCCGAGCUUCCUUCUCUUGAGCUCUCUCUUCGACCUUUGCUUAUUCACAAUUAAUUUAGUUUAAGCGCCCCUCCCCACAAUUAAUUGUUAUAUAAUUAUACUGUAGAGUCAAAGCUUUUGAAAUUGAUACUCACCAGAAUUUGGCAUGGCAUCUAUUAAUGUGAAUUUAUGUUGGGUGUUAGAUAAAACAAGCUUAAAAGUCAUGUUGGUAUUGACAAGAAGAGCAAUCACCUCAACUGCCCCUGCAACUUUCUUACAUUUCUGACAGAGAUUCAACUACUUUCUGGUUAUCCCUACAACUUAGCGCACGGAUGAUGGAUUGUUUCAGUGAUUUGCAUUGUCCAUUGGACCUUUUUUGUCGCUCUCAUAAUUAAUAAAUAGGUGGGAAUUGACUCACUGGUUCCAAGCGCUUGUUGGGUUAGUUUGCUUAUUGAAAGGGCCUUUUUUGAAGCUGCAAAAACUCUGCAACUAUUCUGUGCAUUUUCAGAAGAAGAAAAUGUUAUUGAUGGUGCAUAAUUGCUUGCAUAUGGAGCUUUACUCUCAACAGAUAGCUUAUUAAAUAUUUAUACCUGAAUUAGAUUUACCUACAUCAGUUGGCUGAAAGUACAAUCACUACAAGUUAAAACUUUAACGUAUUAGAAAAAAGUAUACAAUAGACAAAACUGAAGCUUAUACCGAUACUUCAUAAUUUCGAAGAAUGCUGCUUUACUAUUAACAUUUAUCGUCUGUUUCUACUUCAAUUUUCUUGAGCUGCCAAAAUUUAAAAUAUGAAAUAUUAAUUCUCAACCACUAUAUUAUAUAUAUGUACUUAAAUUUUUAAAAAGACUUUUAAUUCUCCAUUGACCUUUUUAGUUGUACCAUUUUAUUUAAUCUAUCCAUAUGGUUGCAUAUGAGUCUGUCAUUGUUCUCCCGAAAACCUUGAAUUUUGCAAGAAAAAAAUGGGAGGUUGUUUUAAGUAGUAAUGUUUAUCGUAUUCAUGAAAAUUAUAAACUUCAUUUAAAGAAGAGAAAUUGUUUUCCUAUUUCCUUAAAGAAAUAUAACUUUUUUAUCUGUGAAAUUUUACAGCAAACCUUGUUAAAGAUAGUGAAAUGACAGACAUCCUUGUCCACUCUUUGAUGUGCUCAAUUCAACUCCUUACUCUAGGGAGACAGAGAGGCGCCACUGCUCUUAUCUUGGGAGGAUCCCUUCGGAGAAUUCUGGAAGGUACCUUUUUUUUUUUUUGGUGUUGUUAUUAAAUAAGCCCUUUUUCUUUCUUCUCCUAAACCAAAAGGAGUUGAUGAAUUGUCCGGUGUGUGUUAAUUAAUAGGUGUCAAGUGGCAUGGUUAGAAUAGAUUAAACCCCCUGAAUACUCAGUGGUCCGCGGGGGUGGACAGCAUAGGGAGGCCAGGCCACGCCCCAUCAUUAGACAAUAAGGGGAGGACCACUCCCAUAUUACCAUUGGUCAGGUUUGGGUCAACAAAUGAAGAGCAAUUUUCUCUCAUAAUUGGAUUGAUUUUAGCUGUCGAUUUUGUUGGCGAUACAGGAGGAAUUCCACUGUACUUAAUGGUGAUGAAUGUGGAUAGAAGAACAUGUUCGGAGGUGUUGGUCGAGAAUUUAUUGCUAAACGACGCAUACUAUUAUAUAUUUUCAUUACCAAAACUUUCUUAUAGCUUUACUUUCCGGUUGGUAUUCGUACUUUAUUAUUAUUUUUUUUUUUGUGAGUUGGGUGAUCCCCACGAGCUGGAAACCCAAUAGAGCGCUGGAGGUGAAUUCGAAUUCCUUAUGAACCGUCCCACGUCGUAUAUAAUGCAACCAUAUGUUAGGUUCGCACUUUUCACAUCAGUUGAUGUUAAAUGCCUCAAAUUAUUUCCCAAAUCAAAGCACCGGCCCUUUCGAUAAGGCUGUAGCCAAACCACAUGAUACACGUGUAUGAUAUAGGUUUGUACAUUGAAAAUCAUGAGCGGUAAUCAUUGAAACCCGCCGAAACCAAUCUCUAUUUUUACUUGAUCGUACAAUGUGCAAUAACAGUCGGAAAAUAAAAUUAAUACCUGGCUGCCACUGGCAGGAGUUGAAGAUGAUAUAAGUUUCAUGAAAUGAAGUAAAGAAUUUAGGUUCUUAAAACAGUGAAAAACGUUCAAGUAUCAUGUAGCUCAACCUACCAGUACUGUUGCUACUGUUUGUAGUAAUAGACACUGGGCGAGUGAACAGCAGAAUGGCAAGGCUCUCUCAUAAUUUCAGAGUUUCUCUAAAUGUGUAUCUACGUGGCCUCUGCCCUCUGCUUUUGUGUACCAAAUUCCGUGAAUAUUUCUGAGCGAUCAACCAGGACAGGACAUUAUUUUUAUAUACAAUGAAUUAAUUUUUUGGCUGUCUCCCAUGAUCAAUCAAGUAACUAAUUUGAAAGUCAAAACGAAUGCCAAGAAUAGGUGUCAACUUAGAAUACCAUAUAUGUAUACUAUAUAGUCUGUUUUUUUUUUUUUUGUUUCCAAAUAUAUGAAUCUGUGUUUAAUUUGCCCCAAGUGCAAACCUAGUAAUCUCCCUGGGCACAUGAUGAAAUCAAAUCAAUUGAAAGUGCCCUGUAAUUUGUCUAUUACUAGUACGCUUUUCUACAAAAAGUGGAAAUCUGGGAUGAUAAUGAAGCAGCAAAAAGCGUAAGAAAAAGGAGAUUCCAUUUUUUAACAAAAUUAUGUAUACAUAUAUAUCCAGUAUAAAGUGUCAACGUGAAAAGGUCUCCCCACCUUAUUGUAUAGUAACUAAGCAGCAGACAGGAGAAUAAGAAGAGUUGUUUCCAUUUCAUGUCAGCAACUUUUUCUCCAUAAUUGAUUUGAAAAAAAGUUUCCAAUGAUGGAUAUAUUAAUAUAAAGUAAUCAAAGUUGAAAUUUUAAUUCAAUCAUAAGAUAUAUGUAGACAGAAAUAUUAAUGUUUAUCAGCCUGCAAUGAGUAGUAGUCUAUUUUCAUUGGUCCCUAAUAUAUAAUUGAGAAUAGAUUUAGGUUAGAUGUUAACCAACUUCCAAUUCUACAAAUUAUAGUAUUAAGUAAUUGCAAGAAAAACCACUGAAGCCUCCUACAUCAACCGUUAAUUACUUGUGUUAUUUCUCUUCUGGCUACAUUUCAACUGCUUGUUUUUGCAUCAACAUUUAAAUUAAAUAGCCUCCAAGGGAACUUCAAAUUUGACAAGUAGCUAUAUAAUGAACGAUGAGUAGUGUAAAUUCAACCUAAAAAAGUUAAAAUAAGGUGACGCAGUCUUUUCUAGGAUAAAUAAGGUUUGGCUAAACCACCUCUUCUUCUUUAUUUUCUCGCAUCAAAGGUUUAUAUAGUAAUAUGGUGAUACUGGUGAGGUUCAUAAAUGAGUAAUUUAAAAAAGGUUAAACUAUUUCCACCAUAGAGUCUAACAGUAACUAUUUAAGCUAUUAAGUAGUAGAUGGGAUAGUUCCUUUUAAAUAUUAUGUGUAUGAAAUGACUUUUCUAAUCACAGCCACUCAAGUCUAAAUUGUUGCAACUACUGACCCAUUUAUAAAUAUUAUUACUCUUUUGUCAUGAAUGAUUGUUUCCUAACUCUUCACAAAGGACACAACUGCUUUGAUUGUACGCACUUUAUCGCCCAAAAAAAAAAAACAUGUCAAAAUGGUUCUCUUUUGAUAUAUCUUAAAUUAUGGGUUAAUCAAUUUUAUAUUUUGGAGUCGGUUCAUGUGUUCCAUAUAAGAAACAGAAUAGAGUAUUGGAUACUAAAGUUGAUUUAUGGAUUUUUCAGCAUGAAAUGAUCAAAGCAAAGACAAAAGUAUUACUUGUUCGAAAUUAAGAUUCGCAUGGGUUUGAACAAAUAAAAAACAAAAUGCAUGUCAACUCCCCCACAAGAAGCUCCAAUGUCUGAUAAACCUAUUAUUUUAAUGUUUAACUUUGGGAAUAGUAAAGAUGAACAUGUCGCAGCUACUUUUUGGAUGUGAUUUAGGUAAGCUUAUAUUUCUCUUUUUUUUUUUAAAUUUACCCAUAGACGGAGAAGACAAAUCAGUCCAAUUUCUAAAGUAGUUCCCUUUGGGAAAAAUAAUAAUAAAUAUACAGCUACUUUUGUUAAUGCGCUUCAACUUUAACUACCACCUGUCUAUUAAUUUCAGUGAAUAUGGAAUUUCUAUAACAUCAAUUAUAUGAUUAUUUUGACCACUUAAUUAGUGAAUAUAUCACUCUUUUCUAAAGUUAAUUGUAUAAAAUCAAAUCAACAAAACCACUUAAUUAUGUACAUUUUUGUGUCAGUGGAGCAAACUGGUUAUCUAUAUAAUGUUUAUUUGUUUAUCUACCCAACCAAAUAUUUCUGUUUUUUUUUUUGGAGGAUAAAAUUAAUGGGCCGGGAUAUUUUUCUUUUUGUAUUUUGGUGUGUAUGGGAAGUCUAAAGCUAAAAUUAAUUUAUGACCAGACCAUGCCCUAAGCCCUAACACUAAUUUUCAUUUGUAACUUAUUAUAAGAAUUCAAAACACAUUCAUUUCACCCACUUUUUUCCUCUCUUUCCCGAUGAGGUCAAGAAGAUUCAAGAUCUAAAAUACUCUUCAUAACUCUGCUGCUUGCAAAUCGAGAAAACUCAAAUGUUUGGAAAAUGAUUGAGAGCAACUUGUUUGAAUACAAGAGACGAGACCUACCAAAAUUGACCAAGUUUUGCAGCACUUGCUCGCCGUUUGCGACCCCACAAUAAUUCUAGUGCUGGAAAGACAACCAGAAAAUUUUUUGUUUUUGUUUUUCCUCCUAUAUGAAAAACCAAUGAACUAUAUAUAUAUUGUCAAAGUCCUAGAAACAUAUAUUUGCACUGAAAAUUAGAGAUGUGUGAGUGUGUGACUUUAACACAAUCCGAACAUGGGGACAAGACAAAGGUGCUAUUAUGAUUCAAGAAGAAUUAAGAAACCAAAAUAAUAAUAAAAGUCUUGUUUAGGUAGGAAGAAAUUGAUGGGUUGCUGAAGAAAUGGCCCCACAUUUUCCUACAAAAGAAAAACCCAUAUUUUAUUAUCUCUAAUCAUAAUAUUAGUAAGGAGGGCAUACAUCUUAUUAACAAAUGAAAGGUCAAAAAAUUAGUUUAAUCACCAAAAAGAAAGUGUUAUUAGGUUUUGUUUCUGCAGCAAGACACCUGUCAAAGAAGACUUCAUUACUAAUAGAAAUAAGAAAAGAAAGAAAGGUGGAAUAGUCACAUGAUAUAUGCAACAGUUCCAUCUGUAUCCAUAAUGUGAUGAAAGCCUAUGAUUUUGCGUUAUAAAGAUAACAUGUGAUGGUUCAAUAAUUUCUUCUUCUUUUUUUAAAAAAAAAAAACCAAUAUUGUUUGCUUUGGUCCAGACCAUGAAGAUGAAGAUCUUAUAGUAAUAUAAUAAUAUAUAUAAUUUAUUGACUUAAAUUUCACGGUUCAAUGAAAACCUAGAUACAUAAAUCCUCAGACCAAGUUGAAAAACCUUUCCCCUGAAGCUUCUUUUUCUUCUUUCUCUCUCUUGAUCAUUUGUUUAAAAGACCACCAAUUAUAUAUAUAUAUACACAUCGAUUCUCUCAAGUUGAAGGGUAAUCUGAGGAUCGGCAACAUGGAAUGGAAGGAAUAUAGGCUUCAUCGUCAAUGGUUUGUAUCCCUUGAGGGAAAAAAAAACAAAGAUUUCUUUAUCUUAAAUUGAUUGUCUAUUUUCUUCUUCUUUGGCUCCUAUUUUCUAGUUUUUCUUAUGUUAAUUCAAAAUUUGAAAUCAUUUCCGGCUGAUUUGCGCUAUACUUUUCUGUGUGUUUGGUUUGAUGCUCUUUUUCUUCUCUUAUAAAUUUAAAAAAAAAAUGGUUUCCCCAAUGAUGAAACAUGUUUUAGUAGCAUCCUAGUCUUAGAGAUAAACUGUUUAUAUAUUUCCAGUUCUUCACAACUCAAUCAUUUCUGAUUGUUUUUUUUUUAUAAUCUAGGAAGGGGAAUGAAGUUGUUUGAGAUUAAACUCGAGCUCUUAUUCCUACAAGAUAAUGCUCUUACCCUUGGAUGUUACCCUAAAGAAGAAAAAGAAGAUUUUUGUAACUCUCUAAACAUCCAAUUUCACGGUUCAAUGAAACCUGAAUACAGAAUGCUCUCAAAACUAUUGAUUGAUUUGAUUCUGUUCUUACUGAGUCUUUCCUUAAAUUUACAUUAAUAAAGACCUAUAGUUCAUCAUGACUGAACCUGAAAAAGAAUGUUUUUUUAUUUUUAUUUUUUAAAUAAAGGACCAAUUUUAUCAGGAACAGGUAAAUGCUAGUAAAUUAGAUAGCUACUGCUUUACAUUGGAUUCCAUAAAUUUAUUUAUUUUCAUAUAAGGUAUGAAGUCAAGUAUUCAAGUGCAUCACUGUAAAGACAUUAACGAUCGUUGCAGAUGACAAACUUCCCAUUUUAUAUCUCUUCACCUUAUGUUUUCUUGUCUAGAUUUAUAGAAAAUAUUAGAUAUAAAUAAGUAUCUAAGAGUUUUUUUUUUUUGUGAAUCAUAUUUCGAAUAUAUAUGAUUUUUUUAAAUGCACCGAAUGUAUAUGAUUGAACACAUGCAUUGGAUAUUCAGAAAAAAAAAGAAAAGAAGAAAAUUGUAGAUUGAAUUUAGAAUUUAUUUUUCAUGAUUUACUUGUAUUUGGUAAGUUAGGGCAUAUAUCGGAAACCAAACUCCAGUCCUAUUGUUCUUACACGAAGGCAGAUUUAUGGAUUACACUCUCAACCUACUAAACGUUGGCAUCAUGUUUAUCAGUUUGUUGUCACAUUAUAGCUUCAAACUAAAUUAUUAUUAUUGACUUGGCUAUUCCAUUUUUUUUUCCAGAAAUUGGAUGUUUAGGGAGUUACAAAAAUAUUUAGGGUUGGCUUUCGCUGUGUCACUCGAUCAAGCUUUAGAUCAAGAGGUAGAAUAUUUCUUUCUUUCUUCAUUAGCAAUAUAUAUAUUUUACAAAGAGGGAAACAGGUAGAAUGUUUUAACCUGUUUAUAUUAAAUAUAGUAAAACCCCGCAUUCUUUAAAAGCCAGAAACCAUUAAUUUGAAAUUACUUUCAUUUACAAAGGUGGAUGAUGGUUUUCACCCACCAUCAAUGUUUCUGACAGUUUAAAAUGCUUAGCACUCUACAAUAAGUAUGUGCAGUUAAACCUAUCACCUAAAACAAUUGGCCUCACACUGACAUGACAUGCAUAGGAUCCAACAUGAGAUGCAGCUCCAACCCUUCUUAAACAAAUGUUUGAAAUGCUAGCUUAUUUCAUUUUGGUUCUAUAUUGUGUUUUUCUUAUCUUCGUUAAUAGGGUGUUCACCUUAAAAAAUCUUCAUACCAUUUUGGAAAACAUCGUGAACAGGAUCUCGUAAAAACUAUCAUAUUAGAUUCUUAGCAGUGCAUUAAUGUCGACAUAGUCUUGAUCAUUUUCAUUUAUUUGAAGUUAUUGCCCAAAUAAUGGCAAGGCAGGUAGGCAACCAUGUAAUGUAAGAAAUGGUCUUACAAUUUGCACCAAAUAUAUGCUUUUUAAUUACCUAUCACACCCAGUACCGGCUAAAAGGCUGGCAAGUAAUCAAAUCCCACACAUUCCUACUUCAGCUCCAUAUGGGAUGGGAAUUCAAUGUUGAGCUAUCAAUAAUAAUGUUCAUUGGGGCAUAAAAUGGUAGUAUAAAGAAAUUUUGUUUUCUUUCGGAAAUAAGGGGAAGCUUUCAUGGUAGUAUAAAUAUGUAUAUUUUUAAUCAACUACUUUUCGGGAAUAUUUAUGAUAGAAAUACUGACAUAUAAACAGAUUUGACAGAUAAGGGGCAGUAUAAGGUGGAUCAUUUGUUUUCUCUUUCCAUUUCUAUCAACUGAACUUGAGCAACGGCAGAAGACAUGAUGGAGAUGCAUGGAGAAGAAAAGAGGGUUAAUAGUGAAGUAUGUUCCCACAAGUGCACCAACUUUGACUUGAAUGAAGAAGCUAGCUGCCAAGAUAAUGAUUAUGUUGGAAAGGAAGGUGAAGUUAGCGUUGAAGAGGAAGAGAUUGAGAAGAGAUCAACUGAAGAAGGGAGUAGUAGCAAUAACAAUGGAGGCGAGGAAGGUGGCAUUAAUGAUAGAAGAAGAACAGUGAGGCAAUACGUUAGGUCAAAGUUGCCUCGCCUUCGGUGGACUCCUGAUCUUCAUCUCUCCUUCGUGCAUGCUGUCGAGAGGCUUGGUGGACAAGACAGUCAGUUCUUUCAAAUAUUGCAUCCUCUCCUUUCUUUAUUUCAUCUUUGAUAUGAGAAAUACAAAUGGAACUCUAAAUUCAUUCUUUGUUGCAGGAGCAACUCCCAAGUUAGUUCUUCAAUUGAUGAAUGUGAAGGGACUUAGCAUUGCCCAUGUAAAAAGCCAUUUGCAGGUACCAAAAAAAAAAACAUUAUUUUUUUUUAUUUUUAUUUUUUACAACUUUUCAGUCCACCAGUAAUUCUCAUUUUUAUCUCUCACUCUCUCUGCAUAUUCCUGUUUCAGAUGUACAGAAGUAAGAAGCUUGAUGAGAGUGGACAAGGUGAAUUUUCAUCUUUUAAUUAAACAUGCAUAAAAACAAUAUUACUAAACAAAGCUUGAAAACCAGUUGCUAAAACCAGUAAUGUUUAUCUAUAUUAUCAUUGGCACGAUUUUUUUCAAUCACUUUAACUUUAAAUCUUCAAAUUUUAAUUAAAUUAUUUUAUUUAGAAAAAAAAUUAAUUCAACUUUUAAAAUGUUAAUGACAUUAAUAUUGUAGCAGUAUGAGAUAAAUUUUUUUAAAAUUUUUUCAACUUUUUUAAAUUUUUUGAAAUAUACAUAAUUUUCGCACAAAUGGCCACAUUAAUAUCAUUAAAAAUUUAAUGGUUUAAUUAACUUUUUCAUUUAAAAAAAUUAACUAAAUCUUAAAUAUUAAAAGUCAAAGUGAAAAAAAAAACCAAAAUGUCAAAAAAAAAAUUAAAAAUAAAAAUAUUAUUUUUCAAAAAAAAAAUAAAAAAGAGCUUUGAAGUAUUUAUUUCAUUUUACUCUAUUUUUGCAGUAUUAAGUAAAAGUAAUCGAUCAAUAAAAGGAAGGGAUGAAAUUCGGCGCAUGUCGUUGCAGCGGGCAGCGGCCGUUUCCUCAAGUCCUCAUCAACAUUUAAGAAUGGAAAAUGGUGGAAUCGUCUUAGCCGCGGAAUCUCUUGAAAAUGACAUCACGCUAACUCGUUUCCGGUCUCCUCUUUACCAACGAUCACUAGAAUUCAAACCCGGCUUUCCAAGGUAACAUUGAAUGGAUUCAUACUUUGUGAAAAUUAUUAAUCUCAAACAUUUGUAUAAUGAUAAAAAUCUUUUAAAUAUAACUACAAGAUUCAAAAAUAAUAAUAUGAUAGAUGCGAAUUUAAAUUCAGUAAUAUGAAAAAGAAAAAUUUAACAUGUAAUUCUCUUAACUUCUGCUUAUAUACCACUUAUGACAUGCAUGUGGUUUUUUAUAGGCAUCACUUAGAACCAAAUUCCUUGAUAAGCAAAGCUGGUGGAGAAAAAAAUGGUUUCCCAAAGACAGGUGGCUUGUUGAGCAAUGAAGGGCAGUCAAACCAAAUUCAUGGAAUGGAAAUGCGAAUUGGAGGCAUGAGACGAGGGUGGGUUCUUGAAGAGAAGAGGUGGCAAAUGAUCUGUAACAGAUGGGAAGUUGAAAGAGAAAUGAGCAAACACACUUUCAUUGGGGGACACUACUCAACUAGCUCAACUCAAGGAAACAACACAAGUACUGUUGGCCAAUUUGUUUCGGAUAACCUUAGCAAAUUCACUAGUGAGUUUGACGCCCCCUUUUUGGUUGAGGUAAUAACCAUUUUUGGUUGGACAUUUUUUCUUUUUAAUAAUUUAAAAACAAAUUACAAAUGCUGGCCUAGCAUUUGAAAUGUUUUCUCAUAAUUAAUUUGCUUGAAAUGCAGUUGAACCAAGAUAAAGUGAUGGACAGAGAAUGGCUGCCUGAUCUGCAGUUAAGACUAAGCCAAAGAAUUGGAAUUGAGGAUAAGAAGAAUACCCAUUGUAAAGGCACCCACGAAAUCAACACCCGACUUUCACUUUCGUAGCUUUGAUAAAGGCUUCUCCACCACAAACACAAAAAAUAGGAAACUGACAUCUUACUAAGUACUUGUCCUAUAAUUGUCUUCUCUUUUUUGGAUAGAAAGUGUAAUUGUUUUUCAUUUUAAUUAUUUGUUGUCGAAUCAGAUAGAGACUCGACUUUAGGAAAUAGGAAGCGUUUGUGAUUGACAAUUAGAUGAGUGUGUGGGGCAUAUAUUUUCACCAACGAUAUCAUUCAUGCAUCGAGAGUCAUGCUGAUGCAUGCAUGUCGAAGCUAAUAAAUGAUCAGCUCAGCAAGCCCAACAACUAUACAAACUAGUUUUUCCAAGCCCAACAGGCCAAUUAAAUAAAUGGCUGCUUUGUUCGUACCACUCGAUGUGAGCAUAUUGGACCUAUGUCUCUUUCUCCAUCGUCGGAGCAGUUGCAUUAGAUGUCGGAACAUCAAAUUCACAAGGACAUAACAUCGAAUCGGUUAUAUAUUGGUAUCAGAAAUCGCAACUUUAGACAGGAACAUCACAUGAAUUAAUUACUAAUGUGAUCUGCUGUUGUGACAAAAGUUAAGCAGCUGCUGAAAUGGCAGAUCAAGAAAAUAACAUAUUAAUAUAUUUCAACCUUUUCUAGUCAAAUUCCUUAUGCUAUUCGAGAUCAAAUCGUGGACGUUACAAAGAUUUGGAUCGACUUUGAUUCACUGAUGGCUGAUGUAGGAAAACAGAAACGAACCACUUACAAACUUAUACAAUAACAAGGUCUAACAAAUUGAAGUUAAAAAAAAGAUCCUGGAGGAGAGAUGAAAACGAAAAUGGUAGGCUGCUGCAAAAUCUUAACCAGCUCUGACCAUGUUGAGUGCAAGUACUUGAAUGCAGCCCUCUUUAUUUUUAAGUUUUGGAUUGCUCAGAAAGGUGAGUUACUAAUUCCUAUAAAGGACAAUGAGUGUUAGUGUUUACGAAAUGAAACUCAUAUUUCUGAACACAAUAAUAUCCUUCUUAAAGAAUGUUGAUAUUACCUCAGAAUAGCGGAUGCAAGUAAGAAGUUUUGACAAUUGUUUCCCACUUGGUAUCAGUUGCAGGUAUCUUAGGUUCCUGUUUUUUGGGAUAAUUAAAACCAGUGCCAUUGUAAGACUUUGGAAAUGAAUUUCUUGAUGCAACUGCAGGCAGUGCACGCGAAAGCCAGGACUCCGAUGGUGCUUUCGGUAGAGGAACAGGAAGAGGAGUGUAAUCAGCAGAGCCACCCUUAGCUUCUCCUUGAUCAGCUUGACCUCUGAGAUUUGAUUUGUCGGAGAAAGAAGAGCGGCUGGAAUUCACUGGCCCUGUGAUUUCAUUUCCUGAUACGCCCUUUAUGUCCAAAAGGUUGGGGCCUUUUAUGUCUUGAAGACAAGAUUCUACACUAGCGGCUUCUUCCAGCAUUCUAUUCAUUACUAUGGUAUCAGAAUGUUUUCCCGUAGAGUCCAUUGGGGUUUUAGUAUUUGAGGAAUUGGAAAUUGAACUCCCAAUUUUUACCGUAUCUACAUAGAGACACAAUGUUUUCUCAUCUGCAGGGCUCAAUGAAUAUGACCCUCGUUUGCUGCUUUGAUAGGGUACUAAUUCCUGGGAGUAGUUAUUGCUACCUGUAUACUUAACCAACAUAUUUGUUUCGAAUUUCUCAGCGUCUUUGGGCAAACCAAGAAAGCCUCCUCCACUAAAGGGAGAUUGAGGUCUCUCUCUACGAUAGGAAGGAAUACGAGCACUACCUGGAAGCCUCUUGUGGGGUAACCAAGUUACCAUUUGCAGGUCAUUUGAGUUGCUACAUUGAUCCCAUCUAGGAAACCUAUGGGAUUGAACUCCGGCAUCUGAUUUGUUCUCUGGGAACCUGGAGGAUUGAACUCCACCAUCCGAUUUGUUGUUACAAGCAAUAGCCCAAUCGUGCUGUUCAAAUAAAAAAAUCGUAAAUGUAUUGCAAUGAAUUAGAAUCUUUAACAUUUAAAGAAAGAGGAGUGAUGAAGGAAAAUGGAAAGUCUCCGUACUAACCUUGUCAACAAUUUGGCUCUGAGACUUGAUGAAGGUAGUUUUUCCUGGUUUUGCAACCUCACAAGUAGAAGCCAGCGAGGAGCGAGUCCUAACUUUUAAUCCAGCCACAGGAUUUAAGAGGCACAUAAAGUUCAUAAAGCAUAACCGAGCUAACAAUCCACCAGCUGCUCUUGAUAAAUUACGGGAAUCCUUGUACAUAUUGUAGUCUUCUUUUUUCUCUUCAUGUGCCUCAUGAUUAUAAUGUGGAAUGAUAGCUAAUUCAUAACUAUUAACAGGUUUCCUGCCCCCAACAGCCACUUCCCUUAGCUCUCUACGUUGUUCAGGUGCCGUACAUUGCUUCCUUGAAGAUCGAGGUGUCUUCAGAAUCAUUGCCUUGGCAGCAGAUAAAAAAUGACUCAUCUGUUGGGGAUCUGUAGAAAAUGUUCCUGACGGUUUUGCAACUGAUCCACUUACACUACAAUUCAUUGAGAAUGAAUCUUUUGGGGACAACGUAUCAAGUGCAUUCAAAUAAACAGCAUCUUCUUUCUCCAACCCUGAGAUUUUCUCAUUUAAACAGUUUGAUUUUGUCACAUUAUCAUUCAUAGAAUAUUGGGGCCUCAACACAUACUGAUUUUCAAACUCACUCUCCACAGGAGACUUUAUGAGAUCCAAAACCCUCUCUGGCGGAAGUCUAGGAGUGCCCAAAGCUUCCUUAUUAGGCUGAAACUCGUGCCGGAUGCCACCUUUUGCUUUCCCAGGGAACUGCUCCCAUACAAAAGGAACUGCAACCGCUUCUGUUACCUGAUCCCAACUCACUUCCGAGGGGAGAGUAUGUGCCCUUGUGGAAGGAGAAUUCUCAACUAUCUUCUGCUUAUCUCUAGCUGAAAAAACAGAUGUUGAAGAAAAGCGCCUCACUGAUAAAAGUGGUGCAUUGAAAUUUAACUUGCAUUCCUCCAUCACACUUUGUAAUAUUCAAGAACUUCAGCAGCUUAAUUUCCUCCUAGGUUACGAUUCACCAAUUUAAAACAUUCUCUAUGCUAACAACACAACCCAGAAUUGAAUUUUCUUUUCAAGAUUAUGAUACCAAAAAAAGAAAAAGAAAAGAUGGAAAUCACUAACGACAAAUGAAACAAGAAUCUUUAAGUGUGACUAUCAACCUGUAAUCAACAUUAACAUUGCUUGAAGCAAGCAGUUCUUUUACAGAAAAAAGAACAUUAUAUGAUGCAAAAAGAAAAAGAAGAUAUGGGUAAUAAAGAGUAAUGGAGUGAUGGGUGAGUUCUUUGAGGUUUUGAGCUCGGGGGUGUCCUAAAAUGAUGACAAGUGUUCAUGGAAUGAGUAAGGAUAAAGAAAAGUGAAGAAGGGAGAGAUGUUGGACACUACUGCGCCUUUUUUUUUUUUUUUUUUUUUGUCUUUGGGGGGGUGCAAUCUUGAGAUUUGCUUUCUAUGUAUAUUGCCUUUGAGAGACAGAGUCGAGUCAUUGAGUGUAGAUUGUACUUAACAGAGAUUGAUAGGGAUAAACUGUUCUGUUAAACGAGCUUUGGCUCUAAUAACUACAGUCUUACCACUUUAAAUCCAUGUCGCGUUUGAAACCACGCGCCUCACUUUUUUUUAAUUAGAAUUAGAAAAAUUUUAUAACUCUUAAAAAUUAAAUUUAUUAAAUUUUUAGAAUUUAAAUUAAAAUGAUAAAUUUUGUAAACAUUAAUAGUUAAAUUUGUUAAAUUUGUUAUAUUUAAAAUUAAAUUUAUAAAACAUGUAAACAUUAGAAAACUAAAUUUAUUAUUAUACUAAUAAAUAAAUCUAUAAAUUUCUCUCACUUGUACCAUAAAAGUGUGAAUAAAAUAUUUAAUAAUUAAUUCGAGAAAAUUAAUAAUUGAAAUAAUGUUUAUAAUUUACUUUUUAUAAUUACAAUCAAUAUUACAAAACACAAUUGUAGUUACAAUCCAAAAAUACACAAAUUUAAAUAAAAAUAAAUCUAAAUUUAGACUAAAAACUCUUACUAAGCUCCAACAUGAAAUCUUAACAUUCACAAAAUCCCUAACAAGUAUUUAACGGAAGUCGAGUAAACCCAUUUUGUAUGGUUAAGAAUCUGGCAAUUCAACUUAUUUUUCUUCCUUCUUUAAGAUAUUAUAAAAUAAAAAAAAAAUAAGUCAAGGGAGAAUCCUUGGCGUAAAGAUCUAUCAAGCCCAGGCCCUGGCUAAGCUCUUUGCCUCGGAAAUACUAGGAUAAUGCAUUUUAAAAAAUGGUUAUAUUUGUUUCAAGGGAUAAUUUUUAAAAUUAUAAAUAAAUUUUGAUUUAAUAUGUAAUUUGAUUUAUGAAUUUUAAUUUGAUGUAGUUAUAUAAACGAAGUUUUGAUUGUGAUUUAAAUAUAUAUAAAUUUAAUUUUAAUUCAAUCAUAUACAUUUAAAAAGAUAAAUACAUCAAAUUAUUUUUAUAUUAAAUAAAUAAAAUUAUUUUUAUAUUAAAUAUAUAAACUUAAAAUGAUGCUGCAUUAAUAAUUAUAUUAAUAAAAUCUCAUAUAUAUAAUAUACAAAAUUAAAAUUUAUAUAUAAUUAUAUAUUAAACUAAAAACUAUAUAUAAUUUUGAGAUUUAUUUCUUAGGUUAAUGGAGGUAACUUUUAAAAGAUAUUUACCUCCGCUAAUUUCCUGAAUCAGCGGCUCUAAAACAUGUGCUGCUCAUAUUUAACACAUUAUUAUCUUCUCCACUAGUUCAGUCUCUUAAGAUCUGGUAUCUUGACAGAAUCCAAAUGCCACAAUAUAGGAAUAGGAGAGACAAAUCCAGAUUCCAUAGGCCCCGAAUCAAGUGUUGAGAGAAAUUGUCAGCUAAAAUUUUUGCUUCUCCUCUCUCUUCUCACACAUGGUGAUAAUGAUGGCGCAUUUUCAACUUUCUGUGUUUGUAUUAUUUCCAUUUAUAUUAAAUAGCAAGACCCAACCACUCUUACGUCCCAUCCAUCCAACACCCACUACACAAUGAGGGGUCAUUUUGGUCCCUCAAGUGCACUUUUAGCCUAGUCUCUCAAGCCCCAAUGCUUUACCUGUCUCUGGGCUUGUCUGAAUCUGGGCCUCUACAAUGUCUUCAACUAUUUCCGAGCAAAUGACGAUGGUUUGAGUUGCAAGUUCGUUAUGCAACUUUUCACUACAAAGACAAUUUGAGCAAUAGAAAUCGGAAUUUUUUGCUGCCAUAAAUAUCGAUCUAUAUCAAGCUAUAAGGCGAGCACUAAUCAAUAAAGAGAGAAAAGAAUGUAAUUUAUAUUUAUAUCAUAAAAAACGAAAUAGUAAUACUUCGUUGACAAAUAAUAUUGGUCCAUAAAAAAAAUCUAUUAAAGGUUGGAAUUAUGGAAACAACUUAUUUCUACUACUCCAUCUCCUAACGAAGUAGUAAUACUUCGUUUACAAACAAUAUCAACCCAUAAAAAAAAACCUAUCAAAGGUUGGAAUCACGAGAACAACUUAUUUUUACUACUCCAUCUCCUCUAAUUUAAAAUUUUAACCAAAAAAAUUUUCAAAACAUUCUUUUAAUCUAAUCCUAAAUUACUUAGAGGAUAUUACUCGCUAAUACCCAACCCCCGAAUAUACAAUUACAAGUGAAACUUGGCCAUUUUUUCUGUGAUCCUAGCUAAAGACCUUAAGUUACACCCAAUUAUCAUAUUGGCAAAACAGCAGGUAUCCUCCUUGCUAUUCCCCGCGGGAACGUCCACCACGUACGACUCAACCACCUCUGUUUUCCCCCUAUUCAUUCCUUCUUCGCUAAUUUCAUGGAGCGUAGUAGUAGAGAGGUAAUUAACAAGCCUGUGAUCACCUCCGAUGAUGCUAAUCAUCAUAACAUGACACUCAUCAUCAAGUUCAUCCAGCCUCUCCGUGCUGGUGGCAGCCGGCAACCCUGACACCACCAUCACUUCACGCACGCUCCCGAUGCCGCCGUUGCCUGACCUCAACUUACAACUCUUCACGAAUAGCUUGUAUGCUUGGGGGUUGUCGAAACGCCGGAUUAUGGACCAUACUAGAGGAAGUGGGGCAUCGAUGGUUUGAACUAGGCUUGAACCGCACUGGUUGGAUGAUAGCUGAGGGGUGUGAUACUGGUUUUUCAUUGCUUCUGUUUUGGGAUGGCGUUGAAGCUCUUUGCUUGGUCGAUUGUCUGGUAUUUGAAUCACCGUAUAAAUACAUAUAUAGAGCGGUAAAUGAUUUGUAAAUUGAGGGAAAUCUGGAGGGUGAGGUGAUAUCGUAGUUUGGAAUAUCCAUGGCAUUUAUCGGUUUAUGUCGGUUACCUUUUGUCUGAGUGUUGUUUCAUCUUCUUUCUUGAGUGUCAGACCAAUCAUCAUCACCCAUCAUAAACUUUAUUUCAGAACCAAAGAUAAAGUUUUAACACUAUAAAAACAGACAAUCAAAAUAAAUUUUAAAUUAUGGUUAUAGGUAUAGUUAUAUAGUUAUUGAUGUGAGGAGGAUGACGCCCUGUUUUAUUUGUUUCUAAGUUAGUUGGGAAAUUGAAGGCGGUUAAUUAAUAGCGAAGGCAACACAUUCGCUGUAUCAUUGAAUUUGUCCUUCUCUAGUUUUAGCGCUCGCAACUCGUUAGCCAUGUGUUUUACAACAUUUUACCUUGCCUUUAUUUUUCUUUGCCCUUCGGUUCACCACGUCGCUUCAUUUUCAUGGCUGUCAACCAUAGGAUUAAUUUUUCAAUUUACAGAUUAGAAUUUUUUCUAAAUUGAAAUUUUAUAUGUUAAAUUUAUAUUACAAAAUUAUUGUCAAAUUAGCACAACCUAAAGUAUUGAAUACAAUUAUUUUUUAUAAAAAUAAAUAUUAUUUUUAAAAAUCAUUUAUUUCUUAUGUUUAAUCUUAUUUAUAUAAUAUUUUAUGUUAUUUUAGAUAAAAUUUAAAAUAUGAUAUUUUUAAAUAUUCAUUUUUUUAGAAAAGAAAAUUUUAUUUCUUUUUUUAAUGAAAUAAAAUGAACUUACUAUUUGUAAGUGUGAAUUACACUAUACAACUCUAAAAUGUGACUUUCAUUUUAAAUUGGUCCCUAAACUUUAAAACAUUUUAAUUACAUCUCUAAAUUAUCAAUGUUAUAUCAAUCAAGUUCUUUUUAGGGGCGAAGCCAAAAAUUCUUUUUGGAGGUUAAAAUUAAAUUAUUAUUUUUAUGAUAGUAAAAAUGUAAUUUCACUAUUUUAAUAAACUAUAUCUUUAUAAUUUUUAAAGAAUUAAAUCAAUUUUUUAUCAUUUUUAGGGGGGCAAAGUGUAAUUUUAUAUUUACUAAUAUAAAAUUUUAAAAAUUUUAAAUAGGCCUAAAUAUAAAAUUUCCCAUUUAGGGGAGGUCAAGACCCCUGCCAGCCCCCUUGCUACGCCUCUAGUUCUUCUGUUAUAAAAAUCGUUAAUUUAACUAUUAAAUAAUACAUCGAAUCUUAUGUGACAUAAUUUAAAAUAAUUUUUUUUAAAAAAUAAAAUGUUACUACAAACUUUUAAAAGUUGAAACUAAAAAUAAAGUAAAUCCAAAAAAAUAGAGAGUGAACAAUAACACUUUUGUAAAAACUUUGAUAACCUCAAAACCAAGAUUUUUACAACAUUCAUUUUUGCAUUGUUCAUUUAAAAAAAAAUCAUUCUAAACUAUGCCACAUGAGAUUUGACAUAUUUUAGUAAAGAAAGAAUCUUAUUGAUAUAACUUUGAGUUUAAGGAUGUACUUAGAAUAUUUUAAUGUUUGGAGACCAACUUAGAAUGAAGGUUAUAAUUUGAGGAUGUAUGGUGUAAUUAACUCUAUUUUUGUCUCUCAAUGUCAAUGUUGGGGCAACAAAGUGCUUUGCCACUACCAUACCCCAGCUUGAUAGUUUUCCCCACCUAUCUAGGGUUGAGUCAUGGGAUUUAACGUCAAACUUAAAGAGUCACCUACAAAUACUUUGCGCCCAAUCAUUCCGGAUAACAUUUGUGUACUCUGUAUUACCACGACUAUUGGCUCAAAGUUAGUUGAUGCUUAUUCCCCAAAUAUAGUCAUUGCUUCUUCUUCGAGAAAAGAAGUUCAUGACUUGUAAGGCUUUUACCUCCACGAGACAUUGCUCCAUCAAGCUUUCACCCAUUGCAAAAAAUUCCCCACUACUACCUCUCGUAACAAUUUAGGCUAUGUCUCAGUUUCAAUGUGGUUAGUUAUCCUCUCGGACCAGCUACCGAUCAUCACAUUGAUAAGUUAUUGACUCACUAAAUAGCUAUUAAUCUAAUUAUCUCAUCUAACACUUUUUAAAAAUAUAUAUAUAUUAAGUAAAAAAAUUAAACUAAUUACCGACACAUUUAAAAUAUUAAAUGAUUAAUUUUGAAUAAAAUAAAAAUUUUAAAUGACUACCUCAAUAAAAAAAAAUAACAACACAAAGGUCAUUAGGCGUAUUGCAUGUAUUCAUCAUCUGUGCGAAUUUCCCUAAGAAAAAGACAGAGAUUUGCUCACCGAGGAUCAACCAACCGACUGAAAUUUUAAAACCAAAACCACUAUGAGAAGAAAACAACACCAAUUCCCUACCUACUCCUUUUUAUUGAGAUAGUAUGAAUGUAAUUAUUGAGGGUUGACUCGCACUAUAUUUUUUCAAUUCAAAAUUAUAUUUGAACUUUUAAUACUUUAAAAAUGAAACUAAAAUAAACCAACAGACGACAAUGUUCUUAAUAAUAAAAGAAAACAACUAGAAAAGAGCACACAUACGUCCUUGUUUAAUUCCAAUUGCAUCAUUAACCGAAAUGUGAACCUUUACAACUACACGUAUCUAUAUUGAGAACUCAUUGUAAAUUGCUAAUCACUUCCUCAACUUGUGCCUGUGCUUCAAAUUAAGAAUUGUGCUUUUUCUUAAGCAAGCAUCAAGUCAGGACUAGUGUUUGCCACAACCAAUUGCGACAAAGUUCCUAUUUUUUUUCUUUUUCCUCUUAAAUGACCUUGGCUAUGCAAGUUGUAACUCUAAACUAUGACACCAGACCUUUUGCAAACCCUUCUAUGUCUCAACAAGUUGUAGCAGCUUCCCUUGCUCCUUGAAUGUUCAACGUGUGAGCUAUGAUUUAAUUUCAAAGCACGUUACAGAUUAUAUCAAAUCAUAAUUAACUGCAACAACCAUUCAACUACAUCAGUCAUUCUCCAGUUUCAUCUACCUAUUCCAAAGUUAAAACCCUUCCAGUAUUAUUCAAUCCAUUCAAAUCUAAAACAGAGGGAAAACGAGAAAAUAUACAGAAUCAGGAAUAAAACUGGUAUGGGCUUAAGUGUCCAACUAACAAAAGGAAUGGACUAUUUCCAGUACAGAAAAACUUGGGGUAAAAUAAAAGGCUUACGAGAAAUGGAGUCCAUACACUAAAUUAGACCCAAAUAUCUUCCAUCUGCCUUUCCAUUACUUGAUAAUUAUCAUUUACUAGCUAUGCUGCUAACCUUUUGCAUCGACUUAAUUAUUUGUUUGUUUUAAAUUGUAGAGUAAAAUCUUGAAAGUUGAAAUAUGUUUUAAUUUGUUAUAUAUUUUUUAUAUUUAAAAUUUAGUUUUUUUUUAUUUUUAUUUUUAGAAAUUUAAUUUUUCUUUUUUACUUCUCAGAUUUAAAAUUUUAGGUUUAGUUGUUACCUUCAUUAAAUUUGUUCUAUUAAAUUCUCUAGUGUGACAUUUUAAAAUUUAAAAAAAAAAUCAUGUAACAAUAAAAAUAAUGUUGAAAAUACUUAUUAGAAUUUUUUAAAAAAAAACACUCAUUCAAACUCAUUUGAUAAAAUAAUUUUUUUGUUGAAAUAGUUUUCUUAAGAAUAAUUAACCUCAACAUUUUGAUUGAAAAUAGUUAACAAUAUUGACUAAUUAAACUAACGAAUGACAAUAUAAAAGUAGAUAAGUCAAAUCAUGUUAAAAAUUAUAGUAUAUAGAUUAAAUUUCAACAUAGUCUAGGGUUAAAAUUGAAAUUUAACUAUUGUCAUAUAUAUAUAUAUAUAUAAAACAAUGAAAAGCAAGCCAUCAGUAAUGUAUUAAUCUCUAAAACUUGUAAAGCAAUUAAAUUACAUAUAACACUUUAAUAUUUUAAUUAAAAUAAUAAUAAUAUUAACUAUUUAGAUUAAUUAAUAAUAUUUAAAAAUAUAGAGAAUAAAUAAUUUUAAAAAUUAAACUAUAAAAAUUAAAUCUUAAUUUAAAGUAUGAUAGAGGAACUAAAUCUAAAAUUUAACCAUUUUAGAAAAAUUAAAAGAAAAAGAAUAUGUCCGCGUGUCAAUAACGGAAGAUUUGGACUAUGUAUGGUUUAUAGAUGUCAUUUCUCUGGACAAAAAUAUGUUGUGUUUAAAAUAAGUAAAACUUUUAUGAUAUAACGGUGCAUUUUAACUUUAUAAAAGAGUUAUUUUAGUUUUUUAUUUUAUUUUUUUGUCAUUUUUUGUUUUCUUUUAUCGUUUUUGGUAAAAAAAGAUUAUAAGGAGUUGGGGGGGUCUUUUAUCGUUUUUAUUUAAUUAUUUUGCUAGUUAAAAAGACAUAACCAAUCUGCAAUAUGAAUUAAUUUAUAUGAAGAUAUAGGAUUUUUGGUCCAAAACAGCACAUAAAGUAUGGCAUUUUUAUAUAUUUGGUAAUUUGUAAAGACCCUCCUUUUUUUUUCCUCCCUUCAAGAUCACAUGUUGCCCACUAAUAUCUAAAUUAUAUUAACCAUUUAAUUUGUAGACCACUGCUUAGAUUGGACAUUACUUAGAUUUACACUUUUUAACUUUUAAUAGCAAAAAAAAAAAAAAAAAAAAACCAAUAGUAGAAUUGUUGUCUUGAGUGAAAAAAGAAAUUACACAUCCUUUUGAAUCAUCUAACAUCCCUUUUUUAAUAGAUACGAAUUAGUGUGGACCUCAGCAUUAUGGUAAUGAUAAAGAAAAGGUAAAUCAUCUCAGUGAGGAUUAAUAAAAAAUAUAGUUGAUGGAAUUGAUACUCGACUUGCUCAAAUAUGGUAGCAAGGGAGCUUAAGUUGAUGGUUACGUACGUGAAAUGUUGAUUAUACGAAACUCAUUCAUGCAUAUACUGGUUUAGGCGAUUGUCUCUUACAAGUCCUAGGUGACGUGGUAAACCUACAAUAUUAACCAUCCACCUACUCCCUUAUUGCGGUGGGUUAUAAUAUUGGAAUCGCCUAUCACUUACUGGAGGACGAGAUCGCUGCUGGGGUUGAUAUUGGCGUAUUGUCAUCUGAUGGUGACGCGUAAGGGAGGAUAUUAGGGGUAUUCUUAGGUUGCUUGGACUGUUGACUCAGUUUGAUCAAUGUCCAUUUGGUCACUUUCCGUGAAGUGAUGGACCAUUUCAUAAAACUGGGAUAAUUUCUUCGGAGCGUUAUCAAUAAGGUAAAAUUGGAGAAAUUUGUGAGUGGCUCCCACAAAGAAGGCUUGAAUGACUAAAGCGUUAAAGACACCUUUGGUUAUCAUAGUUGUAGCAAUAAAACUCUUCAUGAAAUCACGGAAAAGUUCAUUCUCCUUUUGUCGGAUGCACAUGAGGUAAGUUGGGGACUGUUGUGGGGUCUUGUUGGCUAAAAAUCUACACAUGAAUAACCCAACCAACUAAUCAAAGUUACUUAUGGAUCCUAGAAAGAAUGAGAGGUACCAUUGUUGGUCAGUGCUAGAAAGGUUCCCGGAGAAAGCUCUGCAUUUCACAGCAUCUAAGACCCCAAGAAUGUUCAUAUGGUUGUUGUAAUGAGUUAGGUGAUCUUCUGGGUCUCCAAUACCAGUGUAAGUUAACUUGGGAAACAUAACAGAAGAAAAUAAUUUAAGUGUCAACACAAUAAGGGAUAAAGGUUGAUUAGGUAGCUCCAAGAAACUUCAUCAGAUUUAAAAGAAGUUCCAAACCAAAGUGCUGCAAUUUGCUCUUUAAUAGGAACAGUCUUGUUUCGGGGUUCUCGAUCCGGACAAUUGACAAGCUGAAGAUAUUGUAGCACCUCAUUAUCAUUGUACUCUUUUCUAUCUUUACGGACAGUGGAUUGUGUUGUACCUUCCGGUUCUGGAAAAGGGGUUGUCUAAACCAUCCUUCGAUUUAAAAAAUUUUAAUUUUAAUGAGAAAUGGUGAAGUCAACUUUUUGGAAAAUGAAAAUAUGGAGUCGCCACCGAUCCUUUUGUUUUGAUGUGAUCGGGUCACCUAAGAAUUCGAUUAUAAAAUAUUUUUGGUUUACUAAAACAAUGAUUCUGGUCUACGCAAAUAUGAGAAAAUGGGCUCGGGAUUCGGUUAUGUAUGAGGAAGGAUUAGCACCCUCACUACGCCCAAAAUUGGUACCAAAUCGAUGAAGUACUGUCCUUAUGUCUAAAAUUAAAAAUGUUUUUGAAUGUGGCUCUUUUUAAUAAAGUUUAAAUAACCGAGUGGGUUACCAAAAUCUCCUUGUUUCGACGUCCGAAAGCCUACAAUAUUGAAAUUAACAAAAGGAUGCCCAACUGUUUGGUCCAACGAAAAAUCGAAACCCAGCACAGUAGGGUACGAUUCCUCGAAUUUCCGAAUAUUGACCAUUGCCUUAUUUCAUAAAAUACAUGUGAAAUUCCGAGGGGAUAUUCGAUUAUUUCGGGCAAAUGAAAAAGCGCAACCCAGCACGAUAGGGCUUGAUUCUCAAAACGCCAAAUAUCAAAUAUCGUCUUCGUUUUUAAGUAUUUAUAUUUUUUUAAAACAUGAGUGAGAAUACAAAAGAAUAUUCGAUCGUUUUGAACAAACGAGAAAUCACAACCCAGCACGAUAGGGUAUGAUUCUCGAAUUGUCAAACGCCGAAUAUUGCUUUCGUUUUAAAUAAUUUUUUUUAAAAUAUAUGAAUGAAUUUUUGAAGGGAUACUCGAUCAUUUUAAGCAAACGCGAAAUUGCAACCCAACACGUUAAGGCACUAUCCCGCGAAUUGCAAAAUAUCGAAUUUCGCCUUCGUUUUAAAGAAUUCUUUUAAAAGGCAUGAGGGAAAUCUUGAAGGGACAUUCGAUUAUUUGAGCAAACGCGAAAUUGCCACCCAACACGUUAAGGCACUGUUCCGCGGAUUGCCAAAUAUCGGAUUUCACCUUCGUUUUAAAGAAAAUUGUUUUAAAUGGAUACUUAUAAAACUAGCUUAAAACAUAUUAAUGCAUUUUGAAAUGAGACGAAAUUGAUUAUAAAGAUUUGAAUUUUAUAAAACCACAUUUCGAAAACCAAAUAGAAGACAAUGAGUGAGGUAAUAUGCAUGUACGAGAUGUGAUCAACUAACGUACUAAUAAUUAAAAAAUAGCUAGCUUAAAAACGUAAUCCGAUCGCAAUAAUACAUGGAGAAUAGCUACUAUGAAACAAUGAAUAAAUGGAUAAUGCCACGAUAACAUACAUGGGAAAUAAAAUGAUUAACAUUAGAUAUACGAAACAAAAUGCAAAUUAAAGAAGCAAUAUGGCAUAAAACCAUUCUAAAGUAACGACGAAUAAAAUGGUACUUAAAACGUGGGUUGACAAGUUUGCGCAUAUACAAGAACUAAGGCUAGAUAUAUAUAUAUAUAUAAAUGAAGUUUAAAUUAAAACAUAUGCAAAAUAUUUUAAACACAAAUUCAUUUAAACAUUGACAAGGUACAUGAAAACUUAAAAAUAUGAAAAAAUGGUGGAAUACACGAUAAGAUAUACGUUUAUUUAGGAAUAAUUAUUUGUAAAGAGGUAGCAUAAAAUUGAUAAUGUAUAUAAAAAGGAUAAGUAAAUAUAUAAAUUAUUCAUGUAACUAAUCUUUUUUAAAAAUCUAAUCAUACACACAAAAAGGAGAGAAAAAAAAACUAUAUGUACAAAAAAAACUAUAUGUACAAAAUACAUAAUUUAUAAAACUAUAUUUAUAAAGGGAAAUUUAAAACAAAUAAUAUAUAACAUAAUUUUACAUGUAACAAAUUAAUUUAAAUUGAUGGUACAUACAAAUAAUACAUACAUAAGGAUAAUAAAAUAUAAAAAUGUAUACGAUAAGUAAAUUGUACAAUUUAAAAUGUGGUCUUUAAAAAGAAAUAUAUUACACGCAUAAACAAUUUUAAGGGAAAAUAUAUAUACAUAAAAUAUUUACAUAAAGCUAUAUGAAAUUAAUAACAUGUACUAUAAUGAUUUAAUAUAGGCUAUACACAUGUGAAGACACUUUUAGGGAUAGUUAUAUGUUAAAAUAACAUUAAAAAAAUAUGAAUUUUAAAUUAGCUUAAUCUUAUCAUAUAUUAUACAUUUACUAAAACUAAAAAAAAUUAGGUACAAAUUUACUAAAAAGCUAUAUAUAUAUAAGAAUAACAGGGCUUUAAUAACAUAUGUAGAUUAAACAUAAACACUAAAUAUAUCUAAUAAACAUUAAAAUAUAUGGAUAAAUCCAAAAGAAAUUGCAAAAUAUCAUGAAACUAAUAGCAUACAUAAACUAAAAUGAAUUAUAUUACAAAUAAUAUGCCAAUUAUUAAGAUGAGAGAAUAAAUAAAAAGAUCAUUAUAAUACUUUUCAAAACAAAAUUCAAUUAUCAAAGCAACAAAAUAACACAAUUAAUAAUCUAGCAUGUAAGAAAAAAAAUUAUGUGCAGUAAAUAAAAAAUGUGGAUAAGACUUAAUUGAAACAAAGUUAAAACAAGAGAACCAAUUUACAAAUAAAAUAAUUGCAAAAUAGGGUCAAUGUGCCAUGCGCACAAAUAUGCAGGGACUAGAAUGAUAGAUAUCCCGCACUUACAAUGCUAGACUGAACUGCGGAUCGAAGUGAAAAGACGCACAAAUUAUAAGGCCAAAUUUAAGAAAAAAGGUAAUUAAACUGGGGAGCAGAUUGAAAGCAUGGUGCGAUAGGAAGGAUUCAUCGCACAAAUUCCCCAUUUUUGUGUGGGAAUGUGCAGAUCAGGCUUGCGAAAUGGGUCAACACGCGGGGCUUUUUCAUUAUAAACGGUGCCGUUUGAUAAUUAGGUUUUAAAACCUUUUUUUUCCUUUCUUCUUUUCCCAAACGCAACCAUCAUUUAGCCAAAGUUCACAGCCUUAGAAAAUCAACUUAUUAAGGUCUGUUCCAGCAACCACCGAAUCCACCACUUAAUCAGGUGGUCGAUAGCAUAUCAACAACAAUCAACGGCGCCUUAGGACCUUUCCAACCUCGAUCUCAACGAAGUGAACAGAUCCAUGGCCGUUUCGCAAGGUAAGGUUUGCUUUUUCCCCUUCUUUGUUUUAGAAUGAAAAUGAUGAAAACAAUCGAUGGAAAAAUAAUAAUAAUAAAAAUGACAGAAAAAUUAAAAAGACUAAGAAAGAUCACCUCUUCAGAAAUUGUUUUUGAAUUUUUCUAUUCAAUUUUCGUAUAAUGUAUGUGUGUAUGCCCCCUCCCUUUCAUUCGUUUUUCAUGCGAUAGAUAAAUCAAAGAAAACAGAAAUGAAAUCGAAAGAAAAAUGAGAAUCAAAUCACCUUGUGGAGAUUUUUUUGUUCAAGCUUUUCUGUAUUGAUUUUUUUUUUGUUUUUGUGUCUGUAUUCGUAAAAAGAAAGAAGCCCCCUUUACAAUUGAAAAUAGUAGGCUUUAUCCGAAAAAGAAAAAAGGAAAAGAAAAAAUAAAAAUCCAUUUUUAUUCUUCUCCAUUUGCUGUUCUGUUGUCGUCCUUUUUGUUUGUCUCUACUGCUGUUACUUUUUUUUUUGUUUUGCAGGUACGGGUGUGUUGGCGUGGCUGGUGGUGUACUGGAGCGUGCCAGGGCAGUGGAGGCUGAAUGGUUGCGGCGCACAGAGAGAGCCCUAGGGUUUCUGCUCUUGAAAUGUUUCGGGCCUUUUGGGCUGAUGUAAUUUGGGUCCGGGUUUAUCCGUUAAUGGGUUUUAGGAUAUUUGAUUUUGGGUUGUAAUUAGACAGAUAAUGGACUGUUAUAAUUAUUUUUGUUUUUUCUUGGUUUAUUCUUGUGGUCUGGGCCCGGGCAUAAUUUGGGCCUUACAGGGGUAAUUCACCAUCUUUGGCAACGUCUUUUGUUGAGUGUAGCUCCGCGAUCAAUUGCUCAUUACAGGCAUUUUUUCGAUCUAGUAGGCGUUGAUGCUCAUGUUGUUCCUGGAACUAAGGUUGUUGAGUUAGGGGUUGUUCCUCCAUAAGAGGCAUAUUUUCCUCCAUCUUCGUAACAUGUGCUAAUAAGGACCAGUGAGUUGUUGCUAUUGGGAAUCUUGGUUCGAGGGAAUAGCCGCAAUAAUGGGUUGAGGUUGUGAGGCUAAAGAAGAGAGGAUUUGUUUUAAGAUAUCUUUGGGGUCUUGUGAGGCGGUAGAGAAAAUGGUGUGUUGGAAAUUGAGGGUGAGGCCCAUAAUGGUAGGGCUAACCGAAGGAGUGUUAAAGGCAUUCAAAAGCAGGGCAAGGGGAUUCCAUGGUGGUAAUAAAAAUAAAAAUAAUAAUAAUAAUAAUAAUAACAAAGUAGAGCCUAGAAAAAUAAAAAUAAAUAAAUAAUAAUAUAUAACUCCAACGAUAAUCUACUAAAAGUUUUCGAUUCUUAUGGAAAGAAUUUUUCCGUUUAUAGUGAUGAUCCUUGAGUGAUUUUAGUUGUGUUUUGGUGUAAGACUAGAAGUGAUUGCUUAUGCAUUUCGUCAGCUAAAACUGUAUAAACGCAAUUAUCUGACACAAUUUAGAAACUAGUUUUUGUGGUUUUUGCUCUAAAGAUUUAGAUAGACUAUUUGUAUGAUGAAAAUUUGUUAUAUUUACACCGAUAAUAAAAGUCUCAAAAAUAUUUUAUCUCAAAACGAGUUGAAUUUAAGACAGC
rnacentral:lncRNA from 1 species